UUAUUUUUUUUUUUAAUGUUUUGUUAGGUUGAAGAGGAGAGGAGAGGAGAGGAGAGGAGAGGAGGGGAGGGGAGGAAUUAAAUAAGGGUAUUUAGAUAUUUCACUUCAAAAUUUUUCCAAAGCUCUACUUUUUCAAAAUCAAUCUUAAACCAUUCCUAAACAGUUUAGAAUCGUCCUAUGUAUGAUUAGCAAGUUUAUUGAGUCAUAAUGUUUUAUCUCGCACCUACCAAAAUUUCAGUAAGACUUUCAAAAUAUGAUCACUACUCUUCCUAAACCGUUUAGAAUAAUCCUAUAUAUGUUUAGCAAGUUUAUUGAGUUGUAAUGUUUUAUCUCAUAUGUAUCUCGCAACUACCAAAGUUUCAAAAUGAGAUUGCUACUUUUCCUAAACCGUUUAGAAUGGUCCUAUACAUGUUUAACAAGUUUAUUAAGCUUUAAUGUUUUAUCUCGCACAUAUCAAAAUUUCAAUAGGAGUUUCAAAAUGAGAUUGCUACCCUUCCAAAACCAUUUAGAAUGAUCCUAUGUAUGUUUAGCAAGUUUAUUGGGUCGUAAUGUUUUAUCUCACACCUACAAAAAUUUCAAUAGAAGUUUCAAAAUGCAUGUUUAACAAGUUUAUUAGACUUUAAUGUUUUAUCUCGCAUCUAUCCAAAUUUCAAUGUAUACAUGUUUAGUAAGUCACUUAUGCAAUUAUAUUUUUUUUGUUCAGGCUUCAAUAUGACUUCGACAUUAACUGACAUACCCAUGUACAAGAUUGAUCAUUCCUAUCAUUUUCAUAGUGUUCUAUUUUCUAUUUUGUUUUUCUUUUUUAUAUAGUUCAAAUACAUUCAUCGUGUAAAUUAAAAAAUAAGUUAUUCCAAAUUUGAAUUUGAUGUUUUAAAAUGUAUAUUAUAUAUAUAUAGUAUAUUGCGUUUUAAACUCAAUUCAAUUUUUUAAAAUUAAAAUGUGUACUCUGUAGUAUAUUUUACAUUAUACAAGCACAUCAUAUUUAGAUUUUAUUGUUGUAACACAAAGUUUAAAGAAAGUUUAAAUUUGAAACUUGGAAGUAACUUGGAAGUGAGAAAAAUAACUUUUGACCGUUCUAAAAUCUUUUUAAAAAAUUAUAGAGGUUAGUCAUUCUUCUGGUAUGACAAUUAUUUUUUAUCAUAAAAAUGAUUAAUUAUUUUUUAUCAUAAAAAAGAUCAAUUGUGUCGGUUUUUUAUAUUAUGAUAGACCAUACAAUGACUGCAAAUAAAUGUCACGAAAUUUAAAUUUGAUAAAUUUUAAAUGACUCUUAAUUGGUUAGUUUCCAAACUCUUCAACCAAUUUUAUAUUUUUCAACAUCCAACCUUAAACCAAAUCUUGAAGUUCAAUCUAAAUCCUUAAAUCAAACUUCUCUAAUCUUUGUUGUCUCUUAAGUUGGUCUUUUUUUUUUAACAUUUCAACAUUCUACCUUAAUCAAAAAAAGUUGAAGUCCAAUCACAUAUUUUAAUCCAAAAUUAUCUUCUCCUUUCUUAUCUCUUUCAAUAUAUCGCACAUGAGUCUUAUAAGUAUCUUUACUCUCUCAUUUCUUGGCUUCACAUCUCUACAAUUUAAUGCAAAAGAAGAGCUCAAUGUCUUCCAUAAAAAACUUGUAGUCCCAUCUCAUACUUUAAAACAAUCUCUAUUCUUGUACUCUCAAAUUUAUCAAUUUAUCAACUCUUCAACCUUAAACCAAUUUAUCUUUUAAGUGAUUAUUAAUUUGUUCGUUUCUAAACUCUUCAACCAAAUUUAUAUUCUUCAACCUUCAACCUUGAACCAAAUCUUGAAGUUGAAUCUCAACCCUUAAAUCAAACUACUCCAUUCUUUGUUGUCUCUUAAUUUGUUCAUUUUUCGAAAUCUUCAUCAUCCUACCUUAAUGAAAAAAAGUUGAAGUUCAAUCACAUAUUUUAAUCCAAAAUUCUUCUCCUUUCUUAUCUUCAUCGUGAAAUAGAUAAUUAUCAACAACUAAUUUGUCAUAUUAUUUUUUCAAUAUAUCGUCCAUAAGUCUUAUGAGUACCUUUACUCUCCCAUUUCUUAGCUUCACGUCCAAUUAUCUACAAUUUCAUGCAAAGAACGGUUUGGUGUCUUCCUUCAAAAACUUGUAGACCCAUAUAUCUCAUACUUUAAAUCAAUCCAUAUUCUUGUACUCUUAAAAUUUUUCAAUUUAUCAACUCUUCAACCAAUUUUGAAUUCUUCAACCUUAAACCAAGUUAUCUUAAGUCACUCUUACUUUGUUCAUUUCCAAAUUCUUCAACCAAAUUUACAUUCUUCAACCUUAAUCCAAAUCCUUCACAAGUCUUAUUACUUGCGCAUUGCAUUGUCUUGACCCUACAUCCAAUAAUCAACUAUUUCAUCAAACAAGGACAUGAUGCCUUCAUUCAAAAAAGUUGUAGUCCAAUGGAGACUUUAAACCCAAAUUCUCCAAUCUUAUGCAUGCAUCUCGUAAUUUUUCCAAUUUAUGAACUCUCAAACCACUUUUGUUGUUCUUUAUAUCCUAAAGAAUGGUUAUGGUCCAUUAAAUCCAAAUGUUGAAGUCGAAUCUCCAACCUUCAACUAAAUUUCAUUAAUCCUUUAACAAUAUUCUCCAACCUUAAACCAAAUUUAUUGUAUCUCUUAAUACGUCACUUUUAUGAACUCUUUCAACUAAAUAAUUGCUUUUUAAUCCAAAGAAUAAUUAGACCUCCCCAAUCAAAAAAGUUUGAACUAAAAUUACAAACUUUAAUCCAAAAUUCUCUUAUCCUCUCUUAUCUUCCUUCAUCAUGGAAUACAAGACUAUCAAUAACAAACAACAACAAAUUUGUGUUUUCCCCUUUUAAUAUAUCAACCAUGAGUCUUCUACAGACCUUUAUUAGUCCAGUUUUCCAGCUUUGCAUCCAAUUAUCUACAUUUCAAUUCAAAGAACGACUUGGUGUCGUCCAUCCAAAAGCUUUAGUCUCAUUUCAUACUUUAAACUAACAAUUUAUAACCUUAUGUAUCUCCUAAGGCGUGCUUGGGAUGCAGACUUGAGGGGGGAGUGGGUUAUUUUACUCCACUCUACGAUUGGGGCAUGAAUUAAGCAAAAAAGGGAUUAUGGUUGUUUUUCUCCUCGUCACACUCUAUUCCACUCUCUUGAUUGGGUGCAUCUCGAGACCAUCAUUAAUUUUGUUUUUCUCGGGGUCAAUUUCAACUCUUUAAAGAAAAUUUCUCAAUCUCUCUCAAGAACAUCUUUGGGAAACCUUAGCCCAAGAUCAUACUACAUAAUAUUUAUGUUCUUUAGCUCGGGACAGCUUUGGCCUGUGAUCAUACUACAUUAUGCUUAUGUUCUUUAGCUCAGGGCUAUCUCGGGCCAAAGCCCCGAGCUAAAGAAGAUAAGGUAAUGUAGUAUGAUUUCGAGCCAAAGUUGGCCCGAGAUAAUCCCGAGCUAAAGAACAUAAGCUAAUGUAGUAUAAUCUCGAUCCAAAGUUGGCCGAGAUAGCCUCAAGAGAGAUCGAGAAACUUUUUUCAAAUAGUUCUAUAAUUUUGGAAAGAAUCUCAAGGUCGAUCUUGACCAAGAUUGACACUGAGAACAACAAAAUUUGUCAGUCGCCUUAAAAUGCACCUGACCGAGAAAACGAAACAGUGUGUGGCAAAGAUUUCCAGAUUUCCACGUAAAAUAACACUAAUCCCCAUUUUGCUUAAUCCAUGCCCCAAACAUGGAGUUAGGCUAAAAUAACCUACUUCAAUCCUCCAUAUCACUUAAUUUUUCGAAUUUAUGAAUUGUUAAACCAACUUUGUACUUUGAAAUCCAAACCAUAUAUAAUUUCUAACCUGUCUAAAAGCUUGUUUCAAAUACUUUUUAUAUAUUUUUUUUGCUUUAUUAUAGGCCGCUUAAAGGCUAAUAACAUCACAUCUUUGUGUGAGAAGCAUUUAUGUCUCGUUUUGAUGUAUUAGGCCCCUUAUAGUAUAAGGGACCAUCAUUUGGAGGGUUUAUUUUUUAUUCUCUUUGUAAUUUUUAAUUUUAUCUAAAUGAAAGCUUGGCUUCCCUCAAAAAGGAUACAAUAUUAAACUAGAGCUCAAUAUUCCACUCCUAGCCACCUACAACUAACUAUAUAAUUUCAUUCCUUGCUCAACAUCUCUCAAGUCUAUUUACUCUUGAAACAAAAACAUGAUUUCAAGAAGCACAUCAAAAAAUCAAAGAUACAGUAUAAAAGCAAACAUUUAUAAGAUAUGAAAAACAUUUACCGAAAAUUUUAUAAAAACUAGGGACGAAGAAGCCUAACCUUAUUUUGAAGAGGAGAGUAUAGCAAACUAUAUUUUACCUCACUCCCACAAUUAUUUUGUAGUCAUCUUCUAGACACCUUUUGAUAUAUUUUUUAAAUUCAAAUUUACUUCCUCAAACAAGGUGAACCUAAAGAUAAGGUGCAUUGUCAUAAAAGGAACAAAUAAGUGGUUUAUAAUCAGCAGAUAGUUGGGAAUUGGAAACUCACCUCGAUGAAUCCAUUUCAUAAUGCCAAGUUGCCAACGGACUUGAAAACUUACAGAAGAAGGAUCCCUAAAACGAAACAGCAUGCUGUAGGUGUUUCAGAUCUCUAUAGGAAAACAAUUGUAAGUAUUAUAAAAGGGAAAUAAGAGUUGUCUAGGCUUAGGAGAAACAAUACUUACAAUGUAAAGGAAGAUCGGAAGUUUUGUCCAAAAACUCGUGUUGGGCUUUCACAGAUGAUGUUUCGUGAGUAAGCCUGAAUCGUGCAUUAUCCGCAAAACAAGUUCAUCUAGUUUAGUUCCAAAGAGGAAAGGUUGAUCCGUCCAUGAGAAAAUAAAUCGUUAAACUUAAAGUAUUGGGGCAAAACAUGCAAAAGUUAGGCUAUUAAAGGAAAAAGCUUUUUCAAAGAAAAGGAUAAUGGCAUACCAUUUGAGAACUCAUAAUUGAGAGUUGAGGUCUCUCCUCCUCCCCAUGCCUUCCAACUUCGAAUCUGUGCACAAAAUUGAAAGUAAUGUAUAAACAUAGACACAAGUAGAUUUAACAACUAACAGAGGCAAUAUUAUCAAAACUUUGUAUUCUCAUUUACGGUAGUUGAUGUUUAAAUUUUUUAUGCACAAUUAAUCACAAUUUCAAAAAUUUUCUUAAACGAAAAGAUUGAGUACCAAUUUCUUAUAAGUUUUCAAAAUAAACUUAUAGUGAAAAAAGAUUAUCAAUUCUCCAUUUUGCUUUUUUUUUUACCUUGUUAAUUCCCAAAAGAAUCCAUAUGCACAACCCCCAACCAUCGCUGCAAAGUCGAGAAAUGGUUUUCUCCCAAUCAUUUCCUUUUCUGAUCUGCAAACAUUCUGAGAGGAAAUAAUUUGGAUGAGUUACUAGAAAUCAUAUAUGAGAUAAUUAACAUACAAUAUUCAUCCAAAACUCAACAAUACUUUUUUUACAUCAAGAUAAAAUAAUUUAAUCCCAUACAAUGAAAUUAAAUCUUAAUAUCCCUAGUCUAUCGAAAUAUAAAGACGAAACAAAUGCACUUGAUUUGACACUCAAGCGAUAGCGUUAGCAGCACUUACAAUUCUGGGCCAAAGAUCAUCACAUUCCUUUCCAAUUGGAACCCCCAUGUAAUAGCAGAACCCUUCAUCUCUCCUUUGGGGUUUACGAUGACACCAGCAUUGUCUUCGAAGUACAUGAAGACACCAUCCUUUCGGUGCCAUGGGUUGCUUUGCUUAGCAAUAACAGCAGGUAGCACCUUCUUCCUAACGUCAAUGCAACUGAUGCAAUCUCGAGAUAGAUAGAAGCAGCACAUGACCCUGUUUAUAAAACGAGUUGGUUUGAGAAUUUGUCCAAAAACGAACAGCCAAAGAAUUUCGUAUCCAUAUAGAGAUCUAAGUGUCUAAAAUUAAAUAUCAUUACCAUGUUUUUUUCAAAAUAUACCUUCUUUUCUUCACAACCGACCCCACAUUUCCUCGCCGGCUCCACUUAGGGUUUCGCUCAAUCACCGGACGCAGACUUGAACUAGGCCAUGGAGAGUUAGGGAUCACGACCCCCGUUUUCUCGCCGGCUUCACUUAGGGAUUCGCUCCGUCACCCCGGACGGGAAUCAGCGACAAGUAAAUACUGGGGCUUGUACUAGGCCGUGUAGAGUUUGGGAUCACGUAUCGUACUGAUAGAUAGACGAAAGGGGCUUUGGCUUGUACAUCGAUGUCGAAGAGGAAGGAAGUGCGGUGGAUAUAGAUGAUGUAAGGCGAGAGUUCGCUACAUUGUCAAAUUUGCCUGAACAUCCGAAAAUAGUGAAAGCUUAAAGUGACUUACAAGGUAACGAUAAUGUUCAUCUGGUUGUGGAGGUUUGUGAGGAAGGUGAGCUUUUCGAUCGGAAUGUAGCCAGAGGACACCCCACCGAACGUCGUCGAGAACCAUCCAGAAGGAACAUUCGCCUUUGACCGUAUUAAAGCUUCUUGUUGCUCAAGUUUUCGGGUUUUUCAAUUUAUAUUUUUCCUAUUUUUUAAUAGUAAACCUAAUUACGUACGGCUGAACAAUUAGUAAAGUGUUCUAUUUUCUAUUUUGUUUUUCUUUUUUAUAUAGUUCAAAUACAUUCAUCGUGUAAAUUAAAAAAUAAGUUAUUCCAAAUUUGAAUUUGAUGUUUUAAAAUGUAUAUUAUAUAUAUAUAGUAUAUUGCGUUUUAAACUCAAUUCAAUUUUUUAAAAUUAAAACGUGUACUCUGUAGUAUAUUUUACAUUAUACAAGCACAUCAUAUUUAGAUUUUAUUGUUGUAACACAAAGUUUAAAUUUUAAACUUGGAAGUAACUUGGAAGUGAGAAAAAUAACUUUUCACCGUUCUAAAAUCUUUUUAAAAAAUUAUAGAGGUUAGCCAUUCUUCUUGUAUGACAAUUAUUUUUUAUCAUAAAAAAGAUCAAUUGUGUCGGUUUUUUAUAUUAUGAUAAACCAUACAAUGACUGCAAAUAAAUGUUCACGAAAUUUAAAUUUGAUAAAUUUUAAAUGACUCUUAAUUUGUUAGUUUCCAAACUCUUCAACCAAUUUUAUAUUUUUCAACAUCCAACCUUAAACCAAAUCUUGAAGUUCAAUCUAAAUCCUUAAAUCAAACUUCUCUAAUCUUUGUUGUCUCUUAAUUUGGUCAUUUUUUUUUAACAUUUAAACAUUCUAUCUUAAUCAAAAAAAAGUUGAAGUCCAAUCACAUAUUUUAAUCCAAAAUUAUCUUCUCCUUUCUUAUCUUCAUCGUAUCAACAACCAUUUUUUCUUUUUUCUCUUUCAAUAUAUCGCACAUGAGUCUUAUAAGUAUCUUUACUCUCUCAUUUCUUAGCUUCAUAUCUCUACAAUUUAAUGCAAAAGAAGAGCUCAAUGUCUUCCAUAAAAAACUUGUAGUCUCAUCUCAUACUUUAAAACAAUAUCUAUUCUUGUACUCUCAAAUUUAUCAAUUUAUCAACUCUUCAACCUUAAACCAAUUUAUCUUUAAGUGAUUAUUAACCAAUUUAUCUUUAAGUGAUUAUUAAUUUGUUCGUUUCUAAACUCUUCAACCAAAUUUAUAUUCUUCAACCUCCAACCUUAAACCAAAUUUCUAAACAAUAUCUAUUCUUAGCUUCUUGUUGCACAUGCAUAACCUUAAACCUUGAAGUUCAAUCUCAAUCCUUAAAUCAAACUACUCCGGUCUUUGUUGUCUCUUAAUUUGUUCAUUUUUCGAAAUCUUCAACAUCCUACCUUAAUGAAAAAAAGUUGAAGUCCAAUCACAUACUUUAAUCCAAAAUUCUUCUCAUUUCUUAUCUUCAUCAUGAAAUAGAUAAUUAUCAACAACUAAUUUGUCAUUUUAUUUUUUCAAUAUAUCGUCCAUAAGUCUUAUAAGUACCUUUACUCUCUCAUUUCUUAGCUUCACGUCCAAUUAUCUACAAUUUCAUGCAAAAGAACGGUUUGGUGUCUUCCUUCAAAAACUUGUAGACCCAUAUAUCUCAUACUUUAAAUCAAUCCAUAUUCUUGUACUCUUAAAAAUUUUCAAUUUUUCAACUCUUCAACCAAUUUUGAAUUCUUCAACCUUAAACCAAGUUAUCUUAAGUCACUCUUAAUUUGUUCAUUUCCAAAUUCUUCAACCAAAUUUACAUUCUUCAACCUUAAUCCAAAUCCUCCCCAAGUCUUAUUAUUUGCGCAUUGCAUUGUCUUGACCCUACAUCCAAUAAUCAACUAUUUCAUCAAACAAGGACAUGAUGCCUUCAUUCAAAAAAGUUGUAGUCCAAUGGAGACUUUAAACCUAAAUUCUCCAAUCUUAUGCAUGCAUCUCGUAAUUUUUCCAAUUUAUGAACUCUCAAACCACUUUUGUUGUUCUUUAUAUCCUAAAGAAUGGUUAUGGUCCAUUAAAUCCAAAUGUUGAAGUCGAAUCUCCAACCUUCAACUAAAUUUCAUUAAUCCUUUAACAAUAUUCUCCAACCUUAAACCAAAUUUAUUGUAUCUUUAUAUCUCUUAAUACGUCACUUUUAUGAACUCUUUCAACUAAAUAAUUGCUUUUUAAUCUAAAGAAUAAUUAGACCUCCCCAAUCAAAAAAGUUUGAACUAAAAUUACAAACUUUAAUCCAAAAUUCUCUUAUCCUCUCUUAUCUUCCUUCAUCAUGGAAUACAAGACUAUCAACAACAAAUUUGUGUUUUCCCCUUUUUAAUAUAUCAACCAUGAGUCUUCUACAGACCUUUAUUAGUCCAGUUUUCCAGCUUUGCAUCCAAUUAUCUACAUUUCAAUUCAAAGAACGACUUGGUGUCGUCCAUCCAAAAGCUUUAGUCUCAUUUCAUACUUUAAACUAACAAUUUAUAACCUUAUGUAUCUCCUAAGGCGUGUUUGGGGUGCAGACUUGAGGGGGGAGUGGGUUAUUUUACUCCACUCUACGAUUGGGGCAUGAAUUAAGCAAAAAAGGGAUUAUGGAUGUUUUUCUCCUCGUCAUACUCUAUUCCACUCUCUCGAUUGGGUGCAUCUCGAGACCACCAUUAAUUUUGUUUUUCUCGGGGUCAAUUUCGACCGAGAUCGACUACAAGAGUUCUUCCCAAAUUUAAAUAACUCUUUAAAGAAAAUUUCUCAAUCUCUCUCAAGAACAUCUUUGGGCAACCUUAGCCCAAAGAUCAUACUACAUAAUAUUUAUGUUCUUUAGCUCGGGACAGCUUUGGCCUGUGAUCAUACUACAUUAUGCUUAUGUUCUUUAGCUCAGGGCUAUCUCGGGCCAAAGCCCCGAGCUAAAGAAGAUAAGGUAACGUAGUAUGAUUUCGAGCCAAAGUUGGCGCGAGAUAAUCCCGAGCUAAAGAACAUAAGCUAAUGUAGUAUAAUCUCGAGCCAAAGUUGGCCGAGAUAGCCUCAAGAGAGAUCGAGAAACUUUUUUCAAAUAGUUCUAUAAUUUUGGAAAGAAUCUCAAGGUCGAUCUUGACCAAGAUUGACACUGAGAACAACAAAAUUUGUCAGUCGCCUUAAAAUGCACCUGACCGAGAAAACGAAACAGUGUGUGGCAGAGAUUUCCACGUAAAAUAACACUAAUCCCCAUUUUGCUUAAUCCAUGCCCCAAAAUGGAGUUAGGCUAAAAUAACCUACUUCAAUCCUCCAUAUCACUUAAUUUUUCGAAUUUAUGAAUUGUUAAACCAACUUUGUACUUUGAAAUCCAAACCAUAUAUAAUUUCUAACCUGUCUAAAAGCUUGUUUCAAAUACUUUUUAUAUAUUUUUUUGCUUUAUUAUAGGCCGCUUAAAGGCUAAUAACAUCACAUCUUUGUGUGAGAAGCAUUUAUGUCUCGUUUUGAUGUAUUAGGCCCCUUAUAGUAUAAGGGACCAUCAUUUGGAGGGUUUAUUUUUUAUUCUCUUUGUAAUUUUUAAUUUUAUCUAAAUGAAAGCUUGGCUUCCCUAAAAAAGGAUACAAUAUUAAACUAGAGCUCAAUACUCCACUCCUAGCCACCUACAACUAACUAUAUAAUUUCAUUCCUUGCUCAACAUCUCUCAAGUCUAUUUACUCUUGAAACAAAAACAUGAUUUCAAGAAGCACAUCAAAAAAUCAAAGAUACAGUUAUAAAAGCAAACAUUUAUAAGAUAUGAAAAACAUUUACUGAAAAUUUUAUAAAAACUAGGGACGAAGAAGCCUAACCUUAUAUUGAAGAGGAGAGUAUAAUAAACUAUAUUUUACCUCACUACCACAAUUAUUUUGUAGUCAUCUUCUAGACACCUUUUGAUAUAUUUUUUAAAUUCAAAUUUACUUCCUCAAACAAGGUGAACCUAAAGAUAAAGUGCAUUGUCAUAAAAGGAACAAAUAAGUGGUUUAUAAUCAGCAGAUAGUUGGGAAUUGGAAACUCACCUCGAUGAAUCCAUUUCAUAAUGCCAAGUUGCCAACGGACUUGAAAACUUACAGAAGAAGGAUCCCUAAAACGAAACAGCAUGCUGUAGGUGUUUCAGAUCUCUAUAGGAAAACAAUUGUAAGUAUUAUAAAAGGGAAAUAAGAGUUGUCUAGGCUUAGGAGAAACAAUACUUACAAUGUAAAGGAAGACCGGAAGUUUUGUGCAAAAACUCGUGUUGGGCUUUCACAGAUGAUGUUUCGUGAGUAAGCCUGAAUCGUGCAUUAUCCGCAAAACAAGUUCAUCUAGUUUAGUUCCAAAGAGGAAAGGUUGAUCCGUCCAUGAGAAAAUAAAUCGUUAAACUUAAAGUAUUGGGGCAAAACAUGCAAAAGUUAGGCUAUUAAAGGAAAAAGCUUUUUCAAAGGAAAGGAUAAUGGCAUACCAUUUGAGAACUCAUAAUUGAGAGUUGAGGUCUCUCCUCCUCCCCAUGCCUUCCAACCGCGAAUCUGUGCACAAAAUUGAAAGUAAUGUAUAAACAUAGACACAAGUAGAUUUAACAACUAACAGAGGCAAUAUUAUCAAAACUUUGUAUUCUCAUUUACGGUAGUUGAUAUUUAAAUUUUUUAUGCACAAUUUCAAAAAUUUUCUUAAACGGAAAGAUUGAGUACCAAUUUCUUAUCAAAAUAAACUUAUAGUGAAAAAGAUUAUCAUUUCUCCUUUUUGCUUUUUUUUUUUACCUUGUUAAUUCCCAAAAGAAUCCAUAUGCACAACCCCCAACCAUCGCUGCAAAGUCGAGAAAUGGUUUUCUCUCAAUCAUUUCCUUUUCUGAUCUGCAAACAUUCUGAGAGGAAAUAAUUUGGAUGGGUUACUAGAAAUCAUAUAUGAGAUAAUUAACAUACAAUAUUCAUCCAAAACUCAACCAUACUUUUUUUACAACAAGAUAAAAUAAUUUAAUCCCAGACAAUGAAAUUAAAUCUUAAUAUCCCUAGUCUAUCGAAAGAUAAAGACGAAACAAAUGCACUUGAUUUGACACUCAAGCGAUAGCGUUAGUAGCACUUACAAUUCUGGGCCAAAGAUCAGCACCUUCCUUUCCAAUUGGAACCCCCCUGUAAUAGCAGAACCCUUCAUCUCUCCUUUGGGGUUUACGAUGACACCAGCAUUGUCUUCGAAGUACAUGAAGACACCAUCCUUUCGGUGCCAUGGGUUGCUCUGCCUAGCAAUAACAGCAGGUAGCACCUUCUUCCUGGCGUCAAUGCAACUGAUGCAAUCUCGAGAUAGAUACAAGCGACACAUGACCCUGUUUAUAAAACGAGUUGGUUUCAGAAUUUGUCCAAAAACGAACAGCCAAAGAAUUUCGUAUCCAAAUAGAGAUCUAAGUGUCUAAAAUUAAAUAUCAUUACCAUGUUACCGACCUCGCAUUUUCUCGCUGGCUCCACUUAGGGUUUCGCUCAAUCACCGGACGGGAAUCAGCGACAAGCAAAUAUUGGGGCUUGUACUAGACGAUGGAGAGUUUGGGAUCAAGUGUUGUACUGAUAGAGAGAUGAAAGGGGCUUUGGCUUGUACAUCGAUAUCGAAGAGGAAGGAACUGCGGUGGAUAUAGAUUAUGUAAGGCGAGAGUUUGCUAGAUUGUCGCAAAUUUGCCUGAACAUCGGAAUAUAGUGAAAGCUUAAAGUGACUUACAAGGUAACGAUGAUGUUCAUCUGGUUAUGGAGGUUUGUGAGGAAGGUGAGCUUUUCGAUCGGAAUGUAGCCAGAGGACACUCCACCGAACGUCGCCGAGAACCAUCCAGAAGGAGCAUUCGUGUCUCAAAGAGAUUUGAUGAGAUAUGAUCGUUGGAGUAUAUAAAAGCUUCUUGUUGCUCAAGUUUUGAGAUUUUUCAAUUUAUAUUUUUCCUAUUUUUUAAUAGUCAAACCCAAUUACGUACGGCUCAACGGUUAUUAAAGUGUUCUCUUUUCUCUUUUGUUUUUCUUUUUUAUAUAGUUCAAAUACAUUAAUGGUGUAAAUUAAAAACUAAGUUAUUCCAAAUUUGAAUUUAUAUAUAUUGUAUAUUGCGUUUCAAACUCAAUUCAUUUUUUUAAAAUAAAAACAUGUAUUAUGCAGUAUAUUUUACAUUAUACAAUGUUAACUAUAUCAUCACAUCAUAUUUAGAUUUUAUUAACUUUAAACUUGGAAGUAACUGUCAAAAAUAACUUUUCAUCAUCUUAAAAUCUUUUUCAAAAUAUAGAGGUUAGCCACUCUUCUUUUUUUACAAUUAUUUUUCAUCACAAGAAAGAUCAAUCGUGUCGGUUUUUUACAUCAUGACAGACCAUACAAUGACGGCAAAUAAAUGUCACGAAAUUUAAAUUUGAUAAAUUUUAAAUGACUCUUAAUUUAUUCGUUUCCAAACUCUUCAACCAAAUUUAUAUUCUUCAACCUCCAACCUUGAACCAAAUCUUGAAGUUGAAUCUCAACCCUUAAAUCAAACUACUUCAUUUUUUGUUGUCUCUUAAUUUGUUCAUUUUUCGAAAUCUUCAACAUCCUACCUUAAUGAAAAAAAGUUGAAGUCCAAUCACAUAUUUUAAUCCAAAAUUCUUCUCCUUUCUUAUCUUCAUCGUGAAAUAGAUAAUUAUCAACAACUAAUUUGUCAUUUUAUUUUUUCAACAUAUCGUCCAUAAGUCUUAUAAGUACCUUUACUCUCUCAUUUCUUAGCUUCACAUCCAAUGAUCUACAAUUUAAUGCAAAGAACGACUUGGUGUCUUCCUUCAAAACCUUGUAGACUUAUAUAUUUAUACUUUAAAUCAGUCUUUAUUCUUGCAUUCUAAAAUUUUUCCAAUUUAUCAACUCUUCAACCAAUUUUGUACUCUUGAACCUUAAACCAACCAAGUUAUCUUAAGUCCCUCUUAAUUUGUUCAUUUCCAAACUCUUCAACCAAACUUACAUUCUUCAACCUUAAUCCAAAUCCUCCACCCGUCUUAUUAUUUGCGCGUUGUCUUGACCCUACAUCCAAUAAUCAACUAUUUCAUCAAGCAAGGACAUGAUGCCUUCAUUCAAAAAAGUUGUAGUCCAAUGGAGACUUUAAACCCAAAUUCUCCAAUCUUAUGCAUGCAUCUCGUAAUUUUUCCAAUUUUUGAACUCUCAAACCACUUUUUGUUAUUUAUAUCCUAAAGAAUGGUUAUGGUCCAUUAAAUCCAAAUGUUGAAAUCGAAUCUCCAACCUUCAACUAAAUUUCAUUAAUCCUUUAACAAUAUUCUCCAACCUUAAACCAAAUUUAUUGUAUCCUUUAUAUCUCUUAAUACGUCACUUGUAUGAACUCUUUCAACUAAAUAAUUGCUUUUUAAUCCAAAGAAUAAUUAGACUUCACCAAUCAAAAAAGUUUGAACUAAGAUUACAAACUUUAAUCCAAAAUUCUCUUAUCCUCUCUAAUCUUCCUUCAUCAUGGAAUACAAGACUAUCAACAACAAAUUUGUGUUUUCCCCUUUUAAUAUAUCGACCAUGAGUCUUCUACAGACCUUUAUUAGUCCAAUUUUCCAGCUUUGCAUCCAAUUAUCUACAUUUCAAUUCAAAGAACGACUUGGUGUCGUCCAUCAAAAAGUUUUAGUCUCAUCUCAUACUUUAAACUAACAAUUUAUAACCUUAUGUAUCUCCUAAGGCGUGUUUGGGGUGCAGACUUGAGGGGAGGGGAGUGGGUUAUUUUACUUCACUCUACGAUUGGGGCAUGAAUUAAGCAAAAAAGGGAUUAGGGUUGUUUUUCUCCUUGUCACACUCUAUUCCACUUUCUCGAUCGGGUGCAUCUCGAGACCACCAUUAAUUUUGUUUUUCUCGAAGUCAAUUUCGACCAAGAUCGACUACAAGAGUUCUUCCCAAAUUUAAAUAACUCUUUAAAGAAAAUUUCUCAAUCUCUCUCAAGAACAUCUUUGGGCAACCUUAGCCCAAGAUCAUACUACAUAAUACUUAUGUUCUUUAGCUCGGGACAGCUUUGGCCUGUGAUCAUACUACAUUAUGCUUAUGUUCUUUAGCUCAGGGCUAUCUCGGGCCAAAGCCCCGAGCUAAAGAAGAUAAGGUAAUGUAGUAUGAUUUCGAGCCAAAGUUGGCCCGAGAUAAUCCCGAGCUAAAGAACAUAAGCUAAUGUAGUAUAAUCUCGAGCCAAAGUUGGCCGAGAUAGCCUCAAGAGAGAUCGAGAAACUUUUUUCAAAUAGUUCUAUAAUUUUGGAAAGAAUCUCAAGGUCGAUCUUGACCAAGAUUGACACUCAGAACAACAAAAUUUGUCAGUCGCCUUAAAAUGCACCUGACCUAGAAAACGAAACAGUGUGUGGCAGAGAUUUCCACGUAAAAUAACACUAAUCCCCAUUUUGCUUAAUCCAUGCCCCAAAAUGGAGUUAGGCUAAAAUAACCUACUUCAAUCCUCCAUAUCACUUAAUUUUUCAAAUUUAUGAAUUGUUCAACCAACUUUGUACUUUGAAAUCCAAACCAUAUAUAAUUUCUAACGUGUCUAAAAGCUUGUUUCAAAUACUUUUUAUAUUUUUUUUGCUUUAUUAUAGGCCGCUUAAAGGCUAAUAACAUCACAUCUUUGUGUGAGAAGCAUUUAUGUCUCGUUUUGAUGUAUUAGGCCCCUUAUAGUAUAAGGGACCAUCAUUUGGAGGGUUUAUUUUUUAUUCUCUUUGUAAUUUUUAAUUUUAUCUAAAUGAAAGCUUGGCUUCCCUAAAAAUGGAUGACAAUAUUAAACUAGAGCUCAAUACUCCACUCCUAACCACCUACAACUAACUAUAUAAUUUCAUUCCUUGCUCAACAUCUCUCAAGUCUAUUUACUCUUGAAACAAAAACAUGAUUUCAAGAAGCACAUCAAAAAAUCAAAGAUACAGUAUAAAAGCAAACAUUUAUAAGAUAUGAAAAACAUUUACCGAAAAUUUUAUAAAAACUAGGGACGAAGAAGCCUAACCUUAUUUUGAAGAGGAGAGUAUAGCAAACUAUAUUUUACCUCACAACCACAAUUAUUUUGUAGUCAUCUUCCAGAGACCUUUUGAUAUAUUUUUUAAAUUCAAAUUUACUUCCUCAAACAAGGUGAACCUAAAGAUAAAGUGCAUUGUCAUAAAAUGAACAAAUAAGUGGUUUAUAAUCAGCAGAUAGUUGGGAAUUGGAAACUCACCUCAAUGAAUCCAUUUCAUAAUGCCAAGUUGCCAACGGACUUGAAAAAUUGCCGGAAGAAGGAUCCCUAAAACGAAACAGCAUACUUUAGGUGUUUCAGAUCUCUAUAGGAAAAUAAUUGUAAGUAUUAUAAAAAGGAAAUAAGAGUUGUCUAGGCUUAGGAGAAACAAUACUUACAAUGUAAAAGAAGACCGGCAAAAACUCGUGUGGGCUUUCACAAAUGAUGUUUCAUGAGUAAGCUUGAAUCAUGCAUUAUCCGCAAAACAAGUUCAUCUAGUAAUAGCAGAACCCUUCAUCUCUCCUUUGGGUGGUUUACGAUGACACCAGCAUUGUCUUCGAAGUACAUGAAGACACCAUCCUUUUGGUGCCAUGGGUUGCUCUGCCUAGCAAUAACAGCAGGUAGCACCUUCUUCCUGACGUCAAUGCAACUGAUGCAAUCUCGAGAUAGAUACAAGCGACACAUGACCCUGUUUAUAAAACGAGUUGGUUUCAGAAUUUGUCCAAAAACGAACAGCCAAAGAAUUUCGUAUCCAAAUAGAGAUCUAAGUGUCUAAAAAUAAAUAUCAUUACCAUGUUACCAACCUCGCAUUUUCUCGCCGGCUCCACUUAGGGUUUCGCUCAAUCACCGGAUGGGAAUCAGCGACAAGCAAACAUUGGGGCUUGUACUAGACGAUGGAGAGUUUGGGAUCAAGUGUUGUACUGAUAGAGAGACGAAAGGGGCUUUGGCUUGUACAUCGAUAUCGAAGAGGAAGGAACUGCGGUGGAUAUAGAUUAUAUAAGGCGAGAGUUUGCUAGAUUGUCGCAAAUUUGCCUGGACAUCGGAAUAUAGUGAAAGCUUAUAGUGACUUACAAGGUAACGAUGAUGUUCAUCUGGUUAUGGAGGUUUGUGAGGAAGGUGAGCUUUUCGAUCGGAAUGUAGCCAGAGGACACUCCACUGAACGUCGCCGAGAACCAUCCAGAAGGAGCAUUCGUGUCUCAAAGAGAUUUGAUGAGAUAUGAUCGUUGGAGUAUAUAAAAGCUUCUUGUUGCUCAAGUUUUGAGAUUUUUCAAUUUAUAUUUUUCCUAUUUUUUAAUAACCCAAUUACGUACGGCUCAACGGUUAUCUUUUCUCUUUUGUUUUUCUUUUUUAUAUAGUUCAAAUACAUUAAUUGUGUAAAUUAAAAACUAAGUUAUUCCAAAUUUGAAUUUAUAUAUAUUGUAUAUUGCGUUUCAAACUCAAUUCAUUUUUUUAAAAUAAAAACAUGUAUUAUGCAGUAUAUUUUACAUUAUACAAUAUUAACUAUAUCAUCACAUCAUAUUUAGAUUUUAUUGUUGUAACACAAAGUUUAAACUUUAAACUUGAAAGUAACUUGAAAAAUAACUUUUCAUCCUUUUAAAAUCUUUUUCAAAAUGACAGACAUUAGCAACUCUUCUUUUAUCACGAGAAUAUCAAUUGUGUCGAAUUUUUACAUCAUGAUAGACCAUAUAAUGACUGCAAAUAAGUGUCACAAAAUUCAAAUUUGAUAAAUUUUAAAUAUCAUAAAAACCCAUUUUAGUGAUUGCACAUAAAUUUAAAAAUUUUGAAGGUUAAAUCUGUAAUUUAACUUGGACUAAUUAAAUUUUGAAAUUCUCAACGUUUUGACCCCUGCCAAGGAUUCCAAAUAUAAUCACGGCUGUAUAUUCAUUAAAUAAGUCACAAGAACUGUCAAAAUGAAAAGAUUGCUUAGUCAAAUAAGACUGAGCCUUUUAAAGAUGCAAAGAAACAAGAUUCCAUAACUUUGCUCGACAAGAACAGCUCCUUCACACAUACUAUCGAAAAGCAGAUAAGAAAACCAGCCAAUAUAAAUGUGACGUUACAAUUAAUCAACUUAAUUACUUGUGGUUGUCUACACAUAAUUUACAAAGGUACAUGGACUUACAACAAAGAACUCAAGUCAAUUCAAGUUCAAUAAAACCACCAAUUAUCAUCUUAAAAAUCGACCGUUACAUCUUCAGCUUCACAAUUGUUGAAUGUCAAAAAAGACAAAUAUCCUUUUUUAGCUUUCUUCUUUUAACUGAGUGAUAACAGCAUACUUAUUUUUGUAUUGAACAAAAGUAAGCAAUAAACAGUUGUUCUCGUUCCUAUAGGUUGUGGCUCUGAGCAAAAUGGCGAUUCACCACUCCUGUUCCUCCGUGCACAAGCUGCAUGACAGGUUCGUUUUUGUGUUUGGAUCAUACCAACGGUGUAAAUACCAGUAAGAAAAAGACACUAAAUGAAGAUCUCAACCUCCAUCUUUGCUAUAAUAAAAGGCAUCAUUCUACCUUACUAUCACAAAGCUUACAACGGUAGAAGAACUUUCUAUCUUUACCUUUUCUUGAAUCGCUUUUUUCUCAGAUGUCGGAACAGAAGGAAAAUAACACAAGAUCGCAGUGUGUUGAACAAACAGUCUAAUCCUAAAUCGAUUGCCUUGAUUCCUUUCUUUCAUCUCUAAACUUCUUGUAGAUGUCAUCCUUGUAGAAUUUCCAAGUUCGGAGCACCAAAAUGAAUGAAACAAAACAACCGAACAUGGUUGCAGCAGAGAUAAUGAGAAAAGCUAAUCUGUAACAAUGGACGCCCUUGCAGGCUAAGUCUCUACCAGCUACAUUUCUAAGACCGAAAUCCAUUUGCUUUCUAGCCUCUUGGUCGUAUAAAUAGCCAGCUACUUUCACAUUGAAAAUGUAUGAACCAACUGGGCUAGCAAUUCCACUAAUGCUAUAUAAAGUUGCAUAGUAUUUCAAGCCAAAUAAUUCAGAAACAAUGGCGAAAAUCAGUGGCCAUUGUGCUCCAAAGCAAAAUCCAAUUAUCACAGAAGCAAAAUAAACGGAGGUUGGGAGUCCAGAGGCAAUUAGAAGAUGGCCAAAGCAAGAGAGAAGAAGGACAAGAGUGAGGAACAAAGGGCGAGAGAAGUUAUACUUCGUCCAUAAGAAUUCAGAAGCAUAACCCGAAAAUGCUCGACCGAGAAAGCCCCAUAUACUCACUAGAGAAGUGAAAGUAGAAAUGGUAUGAGUUGAGUAGCCAAGGGAGCUGCCUAUCUGACCCAGGUUGUCCAUUGCAGUCAAAGUCCCACCAGCCCCACAAAUUGUGACAAAAAACAGAAUUAACAUAUCUACACUGAAGAUUGCUUGUAAAAUGGUGUAGUCCUCUCCUCUUUCCGGCGGUCUGAACACAUUUUCGAAGCAAGAACUUGGGUUGGCUAAAGCUGUAUCAGUCGUUGGAAAACUUGAAGUUCUAGGCAAUGGUAAUUCAUCUGGAGAUUCGUCUGAUGGAACCGGAAGCCAAGAAGUAACAUCCACACCUUGCAAUUUCCUUUUCCUAAUGCCGAAUUCUUCUCUUAUAAUAACAACAAGGGGAAGAAAAAGAAACGUUAGAAGAACAAACACACAACCCAAAUACUGAAUUCUAGUAAACAUGAGCUCAUUUUGGAUAAUAAUCAAAAUCAUGAGGAAGCCAGCAAGACCAAGGGAAAUGUAGAGCAUAGAAUAGAAAUUUUUUAGAUCAUUGGAUUUGAAUGUGGGGUUCGCUUCCACUACUCUAACAAUCCGAAGAAGCAGUAAAGAAACAGCAGUAGGCAGCCAAGCAAUAAGCAAUAUAAAAUCCUUCGAAUCAUCCCCAUAAAAAGCAUGAUAAAUCUGAGUCAAAAUUGCCCCACUUAAUCCAACAAACCCUUUCAAUAAACCCAAUACAUAACCUCGAUUCUGAGGGAAAUUCUUCACAGAAGGUAUCAAAGCCCCUGUAUUGGCAAAUGUCUGAGAAUUUGCACCUAGGAAUGUAAACAAACACAUUGCAGGCAAUUUGGGUUUGGGGAUACGGUGGGUGACAGACAGCCAAAUCAUGAAAUAGCCAAAGAAAUUCAUUACCCCACCGAUGAAGAGAACAACCCAAGGCGGAGUAAUUUCAUUAAUGAGACCGGAAAAGACUCCGACGUUGGAACCCAGAUCCUUAAAGAAGCCGACGAGGUUGAGUGUGGUCUGAUCGUAAUUCAAGGAGGAUUUGAUGUCGGAGGAGUAAAGUGCGAACAUGUAGGUGGCGCCGGAAACGGACAUGAUGAGUAAAGAAGCGAAGACGGUGAACCAUCGGCCCAAUAGAACUUGGACGGCGAAAUUCGACAUCUGCGAUCGUCUUCUUUGCCCAGUCCUGAUGCUGAAUGUUGGGAAUUGAAUUAAAGAUUUUAAAAUGGUGGCCAUGGAGGAUUGAUGGAGAUAGUCUGAAUUUUAGUGAAGUUCCACUUGGACUGAAGUGGAAAUUGUGUUCACAUGGUUGAGGUGGGAAAGCGAACGGAGGAGAAAACAAACUUAAGAAACGCUAUCCUUAUUUGGCGGAUUGACUUUAAAUCUAAAUCGUCAUCACUAAUUUAACUAAAUUGUUUAUGUUUAUUUAAAAUUAUGAAUUUGGUCAAAUUUUACUUUUACCAUUACUUCAGAUCAACGUUAAAAAACUUUGUAUGCAUGUGUUUGUUUAUAUUUCUUUAGCUCUCAUCUCUUAAUUAUUUUGUUUUUGCUAGUAUAAAAGUUGAAUCCUUACUCAAAGUUUCGAAAACAUAAACUACAUUUUUUAGUUUUUGAAAUUUGACUUGAUUUUUUUAAAAACAUAGAUAAAAAGUGGAUAAGAAAACAAGAAAUUUAACGGUGAGGGUGGUUGUUUGUAGGCUUAAUUUUCAAAAAACAAACCGGUUACUAAACGAGACAUAAGUUUUCUACUGUUUUAUUUUUUUAUAAAUUAAGCCUAAAAACACUCCAUUUAACUUUAAUUUUUUUAUUUUGUUAUCUACAUUUUAUCAAUGGUCUUAGAAUAACCGAUCCAAAAUUUUUAAAACUAAAAACGUAGUUAAAAAAAUUAUUUGUUUAUUUAGAUUUAGCUAAAAAAAAUAAUCCUUUGUAUUUAAAAAAAAUCACAAUAAAGAAAUCGAGAAGAAGUAAGUUUAAUUUUCAAAAUCAAAAAUAAAAAUCACCUCUAGUAACUAUUUUAUUCAUUGUUUUUGGAUUUGAAAACUAUAACCCAUUCAAUUCUUCUUUUACCAAAACUUAAUAAUUAAGCCUACAAUUGUAUUUGAUGUAUAAGAAGGAGAGAGGAGAGUUCAUAGAUAACAUUGAUUAGUCUAUUUGUUCACCGAUCUUGCACAAAUCUAUUUAGUUAUGUUUUGUGAGUGUUCAAAUUUUCAAUCUUAACUUACCAUAAACAAAAGAUUUAUUUUUUCUAGUUAGAAAAAAUCAUUCACCUAAACUAUGACUAUAACAAAAGUUUAAAAGGAAAAGUAAAUUCGUAAAAGUAUUUUAAAUUUACCGUAGAGGUAGGAGAAAGAGAAUGUCUAAUAAAUUUUUUCUUUUUUCAAAUCAAAUUGACAUAAUAACUAAAUAAAUAUUCAAUAUGUAUAGUUUUAUAAAUUAGAAUCAUAAAUUUUUCUCAAUAACAAUUUAGGAGAGUUUUAUAGAACUAGAGAAGAUUAAUUUUAGUUAUAAACUCCAUAGAUACUCUUUUCGAACUUUUCCCUAAAUGUCAUCGUAGGACUAAAUUUGUAUUUGUAUUACAACCAAAUUUGUGAUUUAAAGUAAUAAAAAUGGAAGAAUCUUGAGUUUCGAAAACAUAUAUUAUGAGAAUUUUUUAUUUGAAAAUAAUUUCUAUUUCAUUGUAUAGAUUUUGCAAAAAUUAAAGAAAAAACAAGAUCAUUAAGUCCUUGUUGAGAAAUUUUGUCGUUGAUCGAUGAAAAAGAUGAAUAACAAUGCAAAAUUAGAAAGCAAAUCAUAGUCGUCGUAAGUAAUUAUUCAAGCGGAAGAACUAAACUGCAACGUACAAUCCGUCCUAUUUGAUGUUUCUGUUGUUCUAAUAUAAUCUGAGGAUCAUUGACGAAAUUACCAGACGAUUGAUCUUCAUUUAAUUCCAUUUUCGGUUCCUUUUCCCGUUUCUGGAAGCUCGACUCUAACAUCAUCGUCAUGUUCUUCAAUCUUUAAUUCCAUCAGUUUACUUGAAUUCUCCGAUACAAUUUCCCCUAGAUCACCGGAGGAUUUAUCAACGAUUGUCGGAACUGCUUCUUCUUCUUCUUCUUCUUGAUCUUCUUCCUCUUCUUCUUCUUCUCCUCCGUCAGAUGAAAUUCCCGCUGCUCGCUGCAGUUUCUCGAAAAGAAACUCAUCUUCUUUCACAAGAAACCUAUCUUCUUCUUCAUUUUCAAAAACUAAUCGGACAACAUAGUAAAAGUCUCCAGGAAAAUAUAAAUUACAAAUGCGAUAACCGACAGGUUCUAGAUUAUCGUCACUCUGUUCAUCCUCGAAAAUUUCUUCAUCGUAAUCGUAGGAAUGAUCACUUUCUAAUUCUUCUUCUUCUUGCUGCGAAUCUUCAUCAGACAAUUCAAGCACUGGACCAAAAACUAAUUUGACAAGAUAAUCAUUGUCAUCUUGCGAAAAGUAUAUGUCGAAAACACAUUCGCCGUGUUCGUUCUCUUGGCCGCCGAAGAUUUCUCCAUUGUCUUCAAAGGAACAGGAAAGAUAUUGAAUCUUGAAAGCGGCGUGAUCGGAAGGCUGAUUUCCAGCCAGGAUAUAUCCAUAAAGCAGACACAUUGGCGGUGAUUUAGGAAUUUCUCUUAGACUUGUGUUGGCAGCAGGAAGAAAGUGAUCGCCGUCGUAAACAUUGGCCGGAUGUAGGGCAUUGGAGGGAUCCAUGGGAAUUUCUCUUCGUCUUGUGUUGGCAGCAGGAAGAAAGUGAUCGCCGUCGUCAACAUUGGAGGGAUCCAUGGGAAUUAUAUAAUGUGGAGUGAGGCAACGUAGAACUGGAAACUAAAAUGAUUAUGGCAUCUGAGGCAAUGGGGAUACAUAUAUUUAUAGCCGGAGUUUAUCCAUAAUUAUUGCCUCUUAAUAAUAUAAAUCUUCUUUUCAAACCAUAUAACUGUUUAAGCAUAAAAACUAAAUUUUAAUGUUUUGUAAAGGAAAAAAAGAAAAGAAGAAGAAGAAGAAGAAGAAGAAAACUUUUUAUUUUUUUAAUGUUCAUUGUAGGCCAAAUUUAUAAUUUCAAAUAUAAAUUCUAACUAUUUUGUAAUAAAAUGUUUAAAUUGGAGUUUUGAAAAAUUUUGGGAGAAUAAGUUUUUUUAUUGCAAAAGUGUGCCACGUACGAGUCAGACUUUUUUAAUAUUUUCAUUUUGACUAUGAGUUUGGAGUACAUGUUGGAGAUGUUAAGAGUACCUUCCAUUCCAUAUAAUAUAGAUAAAUUACUCUGGAAACUCAGACUCUAUAUAACAUAGAUUGACUACUUCUUGCAUCGUAAAUUGGUUUUGAGAUAAAAUCUUAUACUAUAAUCCAUUAAACAUAAACGAUUAUUCGGUCCAAGAUAGGUGAACCCAAAAAGACAACAUCUCGAGGGGCCUGUUGAAGAUGUUAAGAGUCUCAUAUUGGAAAAAAUAAGGAAACUCACACUUUGUAUGAUAUAGAUGACUACUUCUCUUAUUGUUAAUUGAUUUUGAGAUUAAACUUUCAUACUAUCAAACAGUAUAUCAUAACCUUGAUAUAUGAUAUAGAUGAUAUUUGUUUUGGUUUAGUUAGACUCUGAUGUCUAUUUAAUAAUCAAAGUAGACCAUACUUUUUAACGAUAGAAAUUGAAUUUUAAUUUUCACAUAUAUUUGUAAUUUGUAAUUUUUUAGAGGUUAAAUUAGACAAAAUGAAACUGACCUUUGUAGUUUGUAUAAAAAAUAUUUUUAAAAGUUAAAAAAAUGUCUUUUACCCAUAGUUUUGAAUGAAAAUCGUUAACGUUUUGUUUAAAAAAUACUUAUGAACUAUCGAAAAGUUUAAAUACUCUUAAACUUAAAAAAGUAAAAAAGAGAAGAAAAAAAACUCUCAUUGAUCAAAAUUUUACCUCAACAAAAAAUUUACUUGACUAUUAACACAAAAUAAAUUGUAAACACAAUUAAUUUUAAUAGUUAAUUGUCAACUAAAAAUCUAUUUAACUAUUAACACACCGUAAUAGUUCGAUAGAUAUAUUAGUGUGAGAUUUUUUUUUAUUCGACUAACUAUUGCUUUAGUAUGUUUUAAGGGAAAAAAUUAUUUUAAAUUUUUGUGGAAUUUUAUGAAAUAUGUUGUUUAAUAUAUGGAAGUUUUAAUUUUACAAAAAAAUUUAUUUCGAUGGAUAUUUUUGAAAAUUUUAUAAAAAAAAGUUAAGAAAAUAUAUUUAAAUUAGCACAUGAAUAUUUUAUUAUUUUAAAAUAAGUAAACAUGUCUAUUAUUUAUAUUAGUAUCAUUUUGAUUUUAAUUUUUAGUGAUUUGUAGAUUUUUGUAUGAUGUAAUAAAUUUUGUUUAUUGAAUAAAAGUACUGACAUAUCAAUAUAAAUUUAUUAUAUAGUUUUAACUUUAAAAAAAAUCAUUUUUUAAUUUUAAAUGCUACAAAAUUUGUUGUAAAAACUGUAUUAAUGGAAAUAUUUUUAAACUUUAUUUAAGUUUAAGAAUAAUUACAAGCUUUUCAACGCGUUUGUUCAAAACUAAAAGUAAUGAUUUUUUUACAGUUAUUUUUGAAACUUUUGAAAAUUUAGAAAUAAUUUUAACGCUUUGUGUUGAGUAUUUCUCUUUUAUAAUUUAGGCUUUUUAAAAUAUCAAAAUUAAGUAAUGAGAUAUUUUAAGAGCGAUGGACUGUUUCUUAGACAUAUAAAUGUCUAUACAUAAUCUAUACAAUAAUAGUUAUUAAUCCAUAGAAAGAUUACAAAGUCAUAUUCCGGCCGUGAGUUCGUUUUGAGCUUCACAUAGCAUCGAUCAAAGGACUUUCAAUCCGUUUGAUCAGCAGCAAAAGAUCAUUCAAUCUCCAUUCCUCUGCGAGAGAAAGACGAAGAAGAAGGAAUCAAUUCCAAUAUGUCUCGUAGCAUUUCAUACAUAACUGGCACUCAGCUUCUCUCCUUCAAACGCCGGCCAAAUGUUGCCAUCAUCGACGUUAGGUAUAACCUUAGACCAAAAUUCCUCUUCCGAUUGACUUAGUUUGUGUUCCUUCAUAUAUGUAAAAUCUUGUUCUGUGAUCUUACAGGGACGACGAGAGGAGUUAUGAUGGCCAUAUUGCUGGAUCUCUGCACUUCGCUAGUGACAGUUUCUCUGAUAAGAUCUCUAAGCUUGUCCAAGAAGUGAAAGGGAAAGAUACGCUUGUUUUCCACUGCGCUCUUAGCCAGGUUUUCGCUGAACGAAAUUAAUGCUUUUACAUAGUCAAUUUUCUUUGAAUUACCUUCAAUUUUGUGAUUUUGACUUGUUCUAUUAGGGUUUUUGUUUUAAUCAUCUCAAAUUUCAUUUCUCGUCAAUUUCUUUGGUUGUUUAAAGGUUGAGCAGUAUGGAAUUCACAUUUGGAUUUAUCGGAUUUAUAAGUACUUCAGUUAUCUUUCUCUCUGUAAUGUCAUAUUGAUUUAGAGUUUUGUGAGUUUAGAUACGUGACCUGCCUUUUACUUAUGCGGUUGCUGAUGUACUGCAUCUGUUAAUCUUUGGAGCAGAAUUUGGGCUCAAACAUGUAUGAGCGCUGUCAUUUAUUCAAAUUUUCUAGCAUGCUUUGUAUGUCUAAUAGAAUUGUCAUUACUCAUGAUCAGACAAGUUAUUUUUGUGAUUUAUAAGUUAUUAAUUUCUAAUAGAAUAAUUGUCAUUGUUCAUGGGUGAAUGGUAAAAGAAAGGUAUAGAGGAGAUCCUUGGGAAUGGUUAAAUAAUUUGAGGAAAUAGAGAAACAUAGAAGUUCGUGGCUAAGAGUCUUGCUCUUCCUGAGUAUCUGGUAAAGAUGGGAGAAUUCAGACCCUCGUUAGAGCUGUUAAUCAGUUUAACCCAAUAGAAGAUAGAAUAAAAUGUCUUGGCACUUGAACUUGUCCUGCCAGUGUAGAAAAUUUGAAGUACUACCAUGGAUACUCCUUCCAUUUAUUUCUUGCGAUGUUAGUAUCUUUAUAAAAAUGAUGAGAGAUCCCACCAACGUUAAAUCCAAAGCAUCCCUCCGUUGCUUUAACUUUUAUUCAAUGCCCGGGAAUAUAGGCAUUUGGUCAAUGCCAGUGCUUUAACUGCAUUCAUCCAAAGAGUUUUAGCUUUCCUUUAAAUCUAUAUUUCUCUUCUCUCCUCUAUUGUUUCUCCCCUCUUUUUGGUGUGUGUGUAUGUCUCUCACUCUCCCUCUUCUUUUAACUUUCGUUUUUUCUAUUAUCACUGUCCUAGUUCUUUUUGUAACCACACUUCUUUUGUAUAAAAUCUAAUUGAGGUAAUUGGCUGAUUCCUAUUGAAAGAACCCUGAUAUAUCGAGAUCAUACUUCAUGCAGUUAUGUAUUCUUCCUAUACUUCUCUAAUGAUCACCAACAGAUAGUAUUACCAGUAUGUAGCUGCUUAUUUUGAAAAUGAAAUUUCGAGAGUGGGAUUAGAAUAGCUGUUAUAGCAUACAUCUAAGUUUAUAAUUUUUAUAUUCUCAUUCUUGAAAAUCUUGGUUUAUGGUCGUGUGAUCAUUCGUUGGACAAAAAACAUAUUGUGGCCUGGGUGCUAUAUUUAGACUAGUACAGAGGUGCAAGCUAAGCUCUGGCCAAGUUCUCUCUUGAAAAUUAUUCGACACUGUCAAAGUUCAAGUAAUCAUAUUAUUUUAGAACUUGAAAGACAACUCUCCAAUAUCAUAGGGUAUUCCUAUUCCCGCAUUAUUCAUGGUUCUUGGAUCCUAUCCCACCUCUCCCAUGAUAUUUGACCUUGUUUUCAGUUUUACAUAAAUUGUUUGGCUAAGGGCAAAAUCUGUACUUUUGUUACGGGCAUUUUCAAGAAACAAUUUGAAGGAAUACUCCGUCUUUCGAUUGCAUUUCCCAAUCUGGAUUUAGAGCCUUGAUUACUGUUCAUGCUUUUACUAACAUUUCAUUCAUUUAUAUAGUAUCUUGUCAAGUCCAUGAAGAGCUCCACAUUGUCCUUGAAAAUAUGGAACCUUUAGUUUUCCCUUCUCUAACUCCACCUUAGUUCUUCUUGUACUCUCUCUCUCAUUUAUUAUUACCUCUGCAUUUUCUGGCCAUUUGUUGCCAUGCUAAUUAUAAAACCACUAAUUCUCCCAAAAACUUAAGCUAGUAGUUGAAGACAAAUUUAAUUAUAUAUCACUAACACUAAUUCUGACAAUUGUUCUUGAAUGAAGUUUAUCGGUAGAAAAUAUUGACUAAUACUUUAUGUUUCCAUACGAACAUUAACUUUCAUGUAUAUUUAAUGGAGAUGAGGAGAAUUAUAGGAUAAUUAGUAUAUUUAAACUUUUGUUUAGUUUUUUAUUUAGAUUAAUCAGUGUUUAAUUAGUAGUCUUAUUUUCUUGUAAGGCUGUAAAUAGGCCUGUUUAGUAUAGUAAUGGAAAGCUUUUGAAUCUCCUUUUGAGUAUAAAACUUCGUAUUCAUUUAUUCAGAAACUUUGUAUUCAUUUAGAGAGUGUUUUUAAGGGAUGAAGUUUCUUGGUUUGGCCAUGAAUUCGGCCUAUUAUUUUUUCCGGAGGCAUCUUUAUCAUUUUUGCAAGAUACUAAGGAAAAAGCUUAUUAUCUCAUUUCUCUGAGACCCCUUCUGUUUAUUCUCAGCUUUUACUUUGAGAGACUACGUUUUGUCACAAAUCUUAUUAUAUCCAAAUGGUUUUUUUCUUCUUCUUGUAGGUUCGUGGCCCAAGUUGCGCAAGGAAGCUUGCCAACUAUCUCGAGGGGAUUAAGGAGGAUGGUGGAAUAAAAAACAUUUGUGUUCUUGAACGUGGCUUCAAUGGCUGGGAAGCAUCUGGCCAACCCGUUUGUCGCUGCAACAACGUGCCUUGCAAGGAGGGGAUAUAGGAUUCAGAAAAUUCGUCAAAGAUCACCAUGGUUUUGAACAAGAUCAAGGAGGGGAUAUGGUAUGAUAUUGUUAAAAGAAUGUGAUUUCAUAAAUAUGUGGAAUGCUAAAGUUGCAUUGUAUAUGUUCCCAGGAUCCUUUUGCUACCAUGGUGUUAGGAUACUUCCUAACAAGAAUCAAUAUAUGAAUUCACGAAGAACUACAAUAUUAUUCAAGUCUAUGGUACUUGGUACUCCUCUCUUGACAAUAAUACUCAAGACCUAACUACUCAACCACUCCCCCUUCUUCACUCCACCCACCUCGUAUUUUCAACCACUCCUCCUAGUAACUGGCCUAAUUAUCUAAUUACUCUUAUACGGCUAAUCUUAUACUAAUAUUUGUAUCUAACACAUAGGUUGCAUUUAUAAUUGGUCAAGUUGGUGCAUGAUAUCAUUUUACAACUAGGCCAUCAUGAUGUUCAUGUCUUCUACUUCUUUAAAUUGUUUUAAAAAAUAAACUUUAUACACAUAUUUACAUUGAAUUUUGUUUAUUAUAGGAAAAAAAAGUUUGCGCAACAAAAUUUGCCACCAAAAUCUAAGUAGACUCCAAACUGGUAGUUUGAGCAGUCAGUUAGCAUAGUUCGGUUUUGAUUUUCACAUUUACUUCAUCGAUUUAUUGGUUUGCUUCCAAUUUUUAUAAAAAUGAACCAUUCACACCCUACCCAAACACAGAAAGCUUGGGGAGAAGACAAUGGUAUUAUUCAAACCUUCUAACCUCACAUUUGUUAUAUUUACCCUUCAUUUCCAGUAGAUAUUUUUAUCAUGAUAUUUAAGAAUUCAAAACUUUUCCUUGCUAGUUAGUGGAAGUGGCUUUAUGACCAUAGGUAAUUUCAACUCGGCAUUUUUUUGUUUUGCUUUGUUUUUUUGUAUUUUCCAUUUUCAACUUUAAAGCAGCCAAAUGGUCGAGAAAUGAUACAAACUCUAUAAAAUAAGGACCCGUUGGCUUUCAAUUCCAAUUGACUAAACAUAAUACGUCAAUUAUUUUCCAAUACAACAAUUGAUGGUUACAAAGAAAGAAACCACCAGCUAAGAGUUAAAUGAAUGCCUUGUAAUGAUAAGUUAGCAACUAGAAAUAAUGCUAGAGAAAGACCCUCUAAAACAAAUCUUAUGCCUAGAAAUCAGUCAUAUUAUCUCACAAUUUGAGCAAUCCUUGGUGAACAUGAAGAAGGCCCUCCUUGGGUCAGCCUUGUAUUAUAAGACUUGCAUUUGAGGCACUUGUGCGCCACAAUGUGAUAAUUAACCUCUGAUAUCUCACUGCAGUCAUUGCAAAGAAUCCAAACCUGAUCAUAAUACAAGAAGGAAAAUUUUCAGUUCAUAAAAAAAAUCAGCAGUUUCUUUUGAGAAACCACACUUUGUUUUACGUUUACACCCAGUACUUUACCAUUUUAUGUUGGUACAUUUGUGGCAUCGGCGUUGAUGCAACCUGAGAUUUUAAGUGAAUAUAUGUUAGGAUCAUGUGAAUGUUGUCACUUGUUAUUACUUUGAUUAGUUUAUAAGGGUUCGAACCUCGUGAUCGAGUUUCUCCCAUACGCUCGACAUAUCGCAAUAGGAUUUUGAGCAAACAGGGCAGGUGUAUCUGCAGAUACAAAGCAAUGGUUUUGGUAAUUCAUUUAAAUGAUCGUAAAGAACAAAAAGGAUUUUAUGUAGCAAAAAGAAGAGAUGAACUAACUGUAAACGUUGCUCCAUCUCCUUCACACAUUCUAAAUGAAUAGUGUGUCCACAUGGCAAAACGGAAAUGUCGCUCAUUGUAUCGAAAAGAAACUGCAGGAACGGAUGGUUGAUUAUGUUAUUGACAUAGAACAUUUCAUAUUGAUAAAUGACAUGUAUAAACAUCACAAAAUAAUUUCUUGUUUUGAAAUUUCACCUCAAAGCAAACAGGACAGUUGUGGUGCAUUGCCUUUUCCACACAAUUGUGGGAGUUCUCCAUCAGUUUUGAAUAGCAACAACCUAAAAAGAUGAAGAAACUUCCGAAUUGAGUGGCUGGAAAAGUAGAGAGCUCUAAGAAGUUGAAUCAUAAAAACUGUUCCGAAGUUCUUACCACACUUUUUGCAGUGGAAAAAGUUGUCCUCACCUCCAACUCUGCAAAGCGAGAAAGAAAGAAAUCUUUAAACUGCAUCUAAUAAAUUGUGAAAGCUACGGAGAAAGGAAGAUAAAUGCAUAAAUAUACAAAGAUGUUCAAGGAAAUGGUUUGGACCUGCAAAUACCACAUUCAUUACAAUGGUACUGCUUCUUUGAAACCUAGCAAAACAGUUUCAAGUCACCAAAAAAUUUAAGAUCAGGAAACUAAUAAUAUAGAUCGAAGUUAAUUAGAUGAUGUUGAUAGAAGCCUACAUCAUCAUCAAAGAACUUGCACUUUGCGCAAAAGUACUUUCCCAUACAAACUCCACAUUGAAUACAAUAUUGUCGCACCUAAAAGAAGUAAGAAAAGAUAGUUAGUUGUCUUCCCCAUAUUUUUAGGUGACGGAGGCUUUGAAGGAAAGAACUUACAUCUUGUUCUGUGCCACACAAGGAACAGAUGACCUGUAGAGAGAUACAAAACAAGAACUCAUGAAUUAUAAUUUAUAUUUAUAGAAAAUUUAAAGGUCUUUCUAAAUACUCUCUCUAUUUCUUUGUUAUGCAAUCUCCUCCUAAACGUUUUUAAGAUCCUAGCAAAAUUGAACUUGAAACUGAUCUGAAUCAAAAAACCAAGGAUAAAACACGAAUUCAGAAGCUAAGUGGAACAUGAAGCUUAAUUGAUACUUGAAAGGAAACUUACUUUUUCCAUAUCCUGGCGAGGAAUGUCGUGGCGUAAGAGAGGAUCCACAUCUAAUGAAUUCUGCAUAAAGAGCAUCAAUGGGAAGCUUCAUGAAUCCAAUUUCUCAAUAUAUAUAUAUAUAUGAAAAUAACAAUCAAUCAGAAGCCAACCUUAGCUUCAUUGUGACAAUGUCUGCAAUCAAAUAUUUCAUUGCAACAAGGAGCUCUAAUCUUACACCUCCUUCUAUAAUGAGAACACCUUCGAAUUAUAAACCAAAUAAAUAAGAAAUCUCCCACGCAAAACCUCUACGAAAAAAACACUAAUAGUCAUUUCGAAAUCAAUUUAGACACUGUUUAAGAAUGGUGAACUACCCGAAGCUGCCAUAUCCGAGAUCGAUCGAUGACAUGUCGCCAUUUGGGGAAAUCCAAGCCUCCAUUUCGCACUCCAUCAUCAUCAGAAAAAAUCUCCUGAAAAUCAAAAGCACAAGCUAGCAUGAGCGAAAAAUUAAAGAAUUCAACCAAAAAAUGAGGUGAAAAGUGGUUGAAAAAUAGGAGAAGAAAAGGGACGGACCCCUGUAACAACAACAAAAGGAACAAAGUUUCCAACAGCGGAAAAUUUCAAAUGGUAAUAUAAUUAAAAUUCCUUAAGGUAUCAUUAUUCAAUUCCGUUUUAGAGGUACUGAUUAAACUAUCCGCUUCGGAGAGGGAUCUCGCCGGAGGAGAAGGAGAAGGAAGAGCAGAUUUUCAGUUCAUAGAAAAUAUCAGAGAAGUGGGUGUGAAAUUCCAAAAGUACCCUUCAAAAGUUCUGGCCGCCGCCGUGUUUUUAUUGUACGUAAAUCAAUGACGAGGCGACACGCCAACGUGAUUCCCUUUUACUCUUUUAUUCGAAAAAUUAACGAAACGGCGUCGUUUGAAGUGUCACGUUUUGUUUUCUUUAUAAUAUUUGUAAUAUGAAUUGUCAUAAUGUUUUUCUAUUCAUUUGAUACUUUCGAAACCUUCGGAGAAGAAUAAUUUAAAUUAAGAUGAUUUGAAUUAAUUUUCAUGUUGUUAUUAUUUCAGUGCCUUAAUAUAAUUCUCAAAUUUUUAUGAGAUUAAUUAAUCGACUAGUCUCUAACUUUUUAUUAUGAUAUUUAUAAGUCUAUUGCACUCUUUAUACUUUCUAAGUUUCUAUUAUUCUUAAAAAAAUUAUUUUAUAAUAAUCGUAUUUUAGAAUGCGAUUGAAAUAAAUUUUAAUUUUGUAAUAAUUGUAUUUAAAAUGUGAUUGAAAUGAUAGGGGUGAAUAUUACAUUCUUCCUAUUCUCCUAUCCAUAAAUAAUUUUUUUUCCCUUGAAAAACAGUGGUCUUCUUCACAACUCCAUAUACACCCCCAGGUUUUUUCCAUACUAAAAUAAACAAACAAUAGAACACAUAUAAUUAUAGAGACAAAAGUUGUGUAUUUAAACCAAAAUCCUCAAUAAUCCUUCAAAAGGGAGAAAAAAAAAGUAAAUUACAAAUUUAGCCCCAAAUACAAAUUUAGUUUAACGAAUGAAGAGAAGAAUAGAAUUGAAUAGAAAGUUGGAUAUAUUGGUCAUUUACCACCUUGGGUCACGCUCACUUACCAGAAAUGAGAGAAUAUUCUUAAAAGGGCAGCGUUUCAAUGGAGGAAGCUCCGAUCAGGAAAUGAAAAGAGAAAAAGAUAAAAGAAGUAAUGUAGUAAUGGUAAGUAAGAAUAUAAUGGAUUUGAAUAUAUAUAGAGCGAUGAAUGUGGAUAAGUGGAUAAGUACAGAACAACAGGAUUUGGAUUUCCGGAGACAUCCAGAUUGAAUCGGGUUCGAUAUAUUCUAUUGCGGUAGGUGCGUUUUUCAAUUUUAAUGGCUUUUGAUUAAGAUGUUUCUUUUAAAAGUUUAAAGUGAAUGUAUGAUCGAUAUUCAUUUUUGUCUUUUUAAGUUGCCAGUAAGCUGUCAUAUAAGAUUGGUGGGUUGAAAUAUUAUCGAUGUAACAAAAUAGCACGAUUUAUUAUAUGUGAUAGAGAUAUUUAAUAUUAGUUUUGUGUCAAAAGAAAUGAUCCUAGAAACGUUGGACAUGUGACCAAAUUUUCAUUCACAUUUUCUGUUCAUGGGGUUUAGGGUUUUGUAGAAUGAGAAUGAGCUAUUGUGAGUAUAGUGCAUGUUUAUUUGUUCACUUAGUUUCAAUAUUAUAGCAUUUUUGUUGAAUUUUACUUUGGUAUUUAAAGUUUUUUUUGUAUCGGUAGUUGAGUUAAACUUAGUUAGAAAUGGAAAAUUUUAAAAUAUUUUCUUUAUAUAAAAAACCCAGUGAAAGCUAAUCAAUUAUAGUUUUUUAAUUCUUAAAAUGAUCAUUUUGUUCUAUAUAUGUAUCUUGAUGCUGUUUUAAUUAGAGUACUUUGGUAUCUUUUAAUGUCCAAUUUGAAUAUAUAAACUUUUAUUAUAUCUUAGGUUAAAAGUAUUUUAAUUUUUUUAAAACCUUUAAGUUCUUAUUUUUAGUAAAUCUUAUAUUUAAUCGUUUGAUAAUCAUAAUCAUUUGAUUUUCAUGUAAAGAAAUACAAAUAUGUGAAAAUAUUUUAAAAACAGGUACACAGUGAAAAUGCUAAUAAUAAAAAAAAAAGUAAUGAAUAAAAUUAAAUUUAGUGGGUAGGAAUUCAAUUUAAAGCUUAGAAAUUAAAAUUAGACAUUUGAAAGUAUAAGUACUAAAAUCGAACAAAUUCUGGAUAUAUGAACUAAAAUGAUAUUUUAAUCUAAAUCUUAAAUUUAGUCACUCGAAAGUUAAAUAUUAUCAGAUUCACGCAAGAAAAUAUGAUAUGUUAUUUGGAAGUAUUUAGAUUAAAAUUUAACAAAUUUCAAAGUAUAACAAUAAAAAAGGUUAUAUCAAAUUAAAUUGAAACAAAAUUCAAAACUAUGAAUCUAAAUUUUCUUAUUCACAAUUCCAAUUCUUUUAUUCGACGAGUGCAAGACCAAAGGAAGAUAUCGUGCUAAUUUUGAGAAGUACAAUCAACAUCAACAAUUUGUAUUGUGAUCGUGUUAAAGUUACUUUCAAAGCUACAGUAUCCAUGUUACAACAUCUUCAUUAUGAAUAUGUUAUAAAAUGUAGAUUAAAUUUAAAACUUGGAGUAAUUCAACCAACUCAAAAUUACCUAAAUGAUAAUUAAAAAAAAAAAGAAAACAAUUGGGUUUUUUCUUUAAAAGUUAUUUUGGGCUAAAAUUAAUUGUGUUUGAAAAGGUGUGUGUAGUGAUGUUUAGAAUAUUUUUCAACCUAAGUUUGGUACAUCAACAAACGUGUUGCUUUUUUCUCUUAUCAUCUUGGUAUGUGUUUGUGGAGACCAACUUUUAAAAUAAUAAAAGUGAUCAAUAUUCUUUUCCUUUUUCUUUUCUAAAUAACCCCUAUAUAUAUAUAUAUAUAUUCAAUAGAUAUUUGUUUUUCUUUUUAAAUUCAUGACGAUUGAUGACGUGAUUUUUCGUCGGAUAUAACUUAACUAAUAUCUAUACAUGUUAAUCUCAAAUAUAUUAUUUUAAACUAUAAAAUUAUUAGACUUUAUUAGAUAACAUCAAUAUUUAAAAAAAUUGUUAGUCAUAUAAACUAUUCUAUUAUUAAUAGAUUGCUAUAACAAUUAGAUUUAAGUUUUAAGUUUGGUUCUAUUUAUAAAUUAUUUUCAAUUAUAAUAUAGUGCUAUAAACCUUUAGAAAAGAAUAUUUCUAAUCACAGUGAAAAAAAGAAAAACCUAGAAUGAAAAGGCACAUGAAAAGGAACCCAAGAAACUUUUGAUAGCAUGUGCAUGGUCCAAAUUAUGCAACAUCAUACCAACUUUAGUUUUGUUGAAUUGGUUCUUUCCUCUAACGUUAUUUAUCCUUUUGUUAUAUAUUUUUUUUAUUUUUUUACUUUCGGUUUUUUUAGGUUAAAAUUAAUAUUUAUUUGUUCUAUGACGUUUUAAAACGAACCAUUUAAUCUUCCAAUGGUUCUAAAUAGUUUUACUUGUCAACGUGCAUCGAUCAAUGAAGAAUGCUAACGGACACACAUUUUAUUUCCAUCUUAUGUGUCUACUUCGUUCAGAUCUUGUUUCUUUGUUCUUCUAGAUGAAGGGAGAGUUACUUCUUCUCGAUAGAUCUGAACAGUUUGAAUUUCAGGACUAGAAAAAAGAAUAAAAGGAAGAGGAGAAGGAGAAGUAGAAGAAAAAAAAAGUUAUGACUUCGAUUUAGAUUUGUACAAACACAUGUACCAGAAGUUUGUAUUAUAUAUAGAGUUUUUUCUCCUGUACUCAUUCCUUGUUGAACAACACAACCAGUAGAAAUUACCCCAUUCCUUUAAACAUAUAGUAACACACACACACAUAUAUCUUUGUUCUCUUAUGAUCAGUUGAAUUAUUGUUCUUUUAACCAUCAAUAUUUCAUGUUUCUGAACAAGUUGAAGAAAACCCCCCAAUAUCUUAAACUGCCUCUUAAUUCAUCAGAAAAAUCAAAGCUAAAGAAAUAGAAUGAAGGAGCUGAGAGAGAAUGGAAGAGAGGCAUGGGAGGCUUGAUGGCGUUCUUCAUAUCUGAACGAAGAAGGAGAGAAUGGAAACUAAAAUGAUGGUUACCACUAGUCAACUAACACUUAGUAGCUUUAAGGACCACUUAGAACUAUUAAUUCUCGAAUAUUUAGUUAUCAAAGUGUUCAUUUUAAAAGUUCAAAUAUCAAAUAAACAUCAACUUUAAACUUCCAUCAAAAGUGAAUUUUGUCAUUUUUUUUUUCAUAUAGUUAAAAUCUAAGAAUGGAUCGCACAUGCUUCAACUUCGUAAAAGUUAAAUAAAAUUAUUCUGUAUUUUUACAAGUCUAUGUCCAGCCAAUAUAUAGAAUAUUGUAUAAUUUUUUAUUUUUUUUGGAUAAGAGGGUGAUACGAUAUCAAUUUAAUCAAAACAUAGUAUAAAAUGUAUAACAUAAAUCUACUUUUUGAGAUAUAUAAAUACUAAAAUUUUAAUAUAUUAAGAUGAUUAUUUUUAUAUAAAAAAAAUUGUGAAUGCAACGUUAUUAACCUCUUCAAAAUCAUAAUAACAAUAGUGAUUUUGAUGUGCAAAAUAAACAUUAAUUGCUUUUUAUUCAUCAUUAAAUUAAAGAUUUAUGAAGAAAAAAAACAAAAGAAAAAAUCAACACACACAGCCAACAAAAAAUGGAUUCUUUUUUCUUUUACUUUUACUUCUUUUUUCUAAUAGUAAAAAUAUAUAUUGUAAGAUUUUUGGAUAGGUAUAGAUACCUAUAAUGUAAUUGGAAAAUUCCAACCACAAAAAAGUGACUGCAAAAAUAGAAAUAAGUGUUAUCCAAAGUUAAAGAAGAAGAAAAAAAAGUAGAAAAAGAGAAAGAUAUUCUGCUUUUUGUAAGGAAGAGGAGUUAUUCAUCUUAAUCUCAUCAAUCAACAAAUAUUUCAUUAAUUAAUAAAUCAAAACUCUCAAUCUAACUACUCUAACGUACUCUAGUGUUGUUGAAUGGAUAAGAAAAAAAGAUUUGCACAAGUGAAAUAAGCACUAUUAGAAAAUGGGUUUUAACGCAAGAGUUUCAACGACACAAUUUUCUUGUCGAAGAUAGGCUAUUUAACGACACUUUAAACUGUCUAGUAAAUUGUGAAAUUAUGGGUUUAAAGUGUAAUGAAUUGAUAAGAUGUAUACAAUUUAUAUUUUCUUAUAGUGGGACACAUAAGUCAAACAAAUAUUAGGUUUACAAGUUCUUGAAUCGAAUCCACGUACUUUUAAUUGUCAAUUUAAACAAGGAAUAAAAUCGAAAAAGAAGAUAACUAUUAAAGAAAAGAGAGUGAAAAGGUGGGAAGAAUUGGUCCAAUUCUUUCCCUUUAUCUAUAUCUAUCCUAAUGAGUUGCAUGCUCACAUGUGUUGAUGCCUUUUUACCUUUACAUGAUUUUCAAAAGGGAUGGAAGAAAAAUCUUGUCCAAAAAAUAUCAUUCUUAUCUAUUUUAACUUUAAAAUAAAAAUUACAUCAUUUUAUAUUGAAAUUUAAUUCAAAUGAUAAUUUUAAAAUUAUUUAUACAUUUUUAAAACAACAUCAUUUUAAAAUAAUUGCUUUUAACUUUACUCAAUCUAAACAAAGGGUUAACCUAAUAAGUAAAAAAGAAAAAGAAAUGACUUAUAAAGAGUCAAAAGAAAAUAUGUGUAUUUUUCGUGAUGUUGGAACAUAAUUCCUCUCAUCGUUAAAAAGUUUGAUAUAAAGGAAGGAGUCAUUCAACAAAUAUAUGCUUUAUAUAGUGUGAAAUAGAAAAUCGAUGAUGUUUAUAAUAGGUAUCUGAAUACUCCACUCUAAUUUUUUUAGACCUAUCAUUAUAGAAUGCGAAAUAAAAAAUUAACUUUAGUCAUAAAAUCAACGUUAUGAUAGAAAGGGUGUCUAUUCAUUGAAAAGUAGCUACAAACGCUUUUAAUGUGGAUUCUACAAUGAAAAAAAAUAUAUAUACCUAAAUUAGAGUUUUAAACUAUAUCACACGUAAAUUUUUAUAUAAAUAUAAAAGUUAAAAUAGAUAAUUUACCAGAACUUUGGAAGUGCAAAAACACCACAGGUAAAAUUACAAAGCUACGUUUGAAAAUUCUCAACAAAAAAUUUUAAAUAAUAAUUAUUUUAAAGUCAAGAAUCGUCUAACUAAGAGAUAACGACUAUCCUCAUUAUUCACAUUGCCUCCUCAUAAGCAUGUAGAGCUCAUUCAAAAUAAAGAACCUCCUCGUAAGCAUGUAGAGCUCAUUCAAAAUAAAGAAUCUUGGUUUGAAAACCAAAAGAUAUCUAGACUUAUCUAUAUAUAUAUAAAAAGAUAAAGUAUAUAUAUUGCAACAAAUUAGAAUAUUCUAAUUUGAUAGUAUUUUUUGGAAUAAAAUCCAUAGGUGAAGGAGAAGAAAUUUGCCAGAAUGCUCCACAUUUUUGUUCUUUUGACAAUUUUUAAAAUGGAAGUCAGAAAUUUGUUGGUAUCAUCAAUACCAAUUUCCUAUAUAAAAGAGUUUAGAUCCAAUUUCAUCUUUUGAUAUUUGGGCUUCACCCUUUUCCCUCUUGGACUAUCAUGACUCUAUUUGUAAAUUACAUUUCUGUCUUUGACCCAUCUAAACCAAUACCAUUCUAUAAGGGCUUUAGGACCCAUUUUCUACCUGCUUUUUUUUACUUCCAAAAAUAAUAAAAUCAUAUGUCUCUACCUUUUUUUAAUUAUCUUAUGAUAAUCAUAUGAUAUUACUAAUUAUUUGAUAUAUUCGCAAUAUGCAAAAGAGCGUUAUGGACUGUUUUAUUUUUCUAAAUGUUUUUGUCAUUUUUUCUCUUUAUUAAUUAUUUUCAAACUAAUAUUAAAAUUUCUAUAUAUUGUUCCUCCAUUUGGAGUUUACCGUUGUUUUAUUGAGAAAAUUUUAUUGUUAAAUUUUUUCACAUAAAUCAUUAAAUUAUUUUAAGAAAUUAUAUUUAUUAAGUUUUUGUUGAUAUUAUACAAACAUUUUCCAAGAAAAUAAUUUGUUUAUAUUAUUGAAAUUAUACAAUAUAUAAUUGGAGUAUAAAAUAACAAACUUUAACAAUUAGGCAAACACAUGGAUAGUUGAAAAGGAAAUGAUAUUAUGAAAGCCACAUGAGAAAAGACCAAACUCGUUAAUAUCUUGUGAAGAAAGAAACCAUAGUAUGGGUCUAGUACUCACUUAAUGCCUACUGCUUUUGCUAUAUAUAUAUAUAUAUUAUAUAUAUAUAUAUAUAUAUAUAUAUAUAUAUAUGCAAAGAGAGAUAUUAAGUCUCAAACACAAUAACAAUGAGUUCGAAUAUGUUUACGUAGUAAAGUUGAAAUAAGUUUGAAAACAGUGUAUUAGAUGAACUCUUUCUUUAAAACAUUCAAUAUUUUGAAAAGCAAGAGGUGCCUUGAACAUGGUGAAAACCACUUUUAAUAACAAAAGCAGAGAUAGGUUGUGUUUGGAAAAUGAAAAAGGCUAUGAAAGUCAAAAGUGAUUGUUGCCAAUAAUAGAUGGUGGGUAUAUGACAAGUGAAUUAAUAAGCUUAAUUUAAUAGGUUCAAAACUACACAUUUUGACUCUCACUUCUGUGGACCAAACCCAAAAAAAAAUUAUUUCUCGAACUACUUUGGUUCGGGUGUUUUUUUUCAACAUUAGUAAUAAAAGAAAGAAAAAUUAUUUUUAAAAAUAAUAAAUUUUACCAAAUAUUUACAACUUAUAGUAAAUUUCAUCAUUGAUAGUCAUUGAUAUGUUAUAACGAUAAAAGACUAUUAAUGAUAAAGUGCAAAAUUUUAUUAUAACUUGUAAAUAUUUUAAUUUAUUUUGCUAUUGUUAAAAAUGCCCCUAAAAGAAACAAACUAUAUCUAUUUCAUGACAGAAAACCAUAAAUAUAAUAUAAUUAAUCAAAAUAUUUACAGCAAAGUUUUAGAUUCUAUCAAUGAUAGACUUUAAUAAAUAUUGAUAAUAAUGUCUAUCAAGAAUUGUCAGACGCUAAUAAAAGACUACUAGUGUUUAUUAGUAAUAGAAUCUGAAAAUUUUGUUAUGUGUAUAUAUUUUAAAGAGUUUUACCAUUUACCAUUUACCAUUUACAAUAAUUUUCAUGUCAUAAAUUGUAAAUAUUUUGUCAACUUUAUCAAAUAACACUUGAGAUGUGUUUGAAAUCCAUUUUCAAGCGUUUAAUUUAAAAAAUAAGUGAAUGAACUUCUUUUAUUUUAAAUAAAAGCUUUUCCUAAGUCAAUCCAAACAAAGUUCUAGGUGGAAGAGUGAAAUUAAGAUUUUUUUAUUUUUUUUCAUUUUAUCAAAGGUUAAUCUAUCAACCAAAGAGGGCAAAAGCUAUAUACAUAAAUCAUGGAGAAAAAACUUUUUAACUACGAUUUUAUCAGUAAAAGUAUAAUAAAAAAUACAUAGGUGUUUAAAUAAUACGACAACUCGAACCAUCUAAACUAUCCAAUUCAAAUUAGAAAGGUUGAAUUGAGUUAUAUUUAUUCUUCCUCUUUAUUUCUAUUUUUCCUAGAGAUUGGUAUGGCCUUAAGUGAAUAUAUAUAUAAACUUGAUCUAACUCUACUCGAAUAAAUUUUGUAGGUUUAUCUUGAGGUUGAAUUUCUCUUUUAGUGUUUUUACUUUUAUCUAAAGUUUGUAGUAGAUAACAUAGAUAUAUGACAUUUGAUUUUUAUGAAAAUUUAGUUAUUAGCAAUGCAUAAUAGAUAAAUUCAAACUAUUUAAUACAACAAGAAGAAAAUAACGAUAAUCCAAAACCCUACUACACUAAGCUAAUCCAAUUUUUUUAGAGUUAGAUUGGAACUCAAAUUUAGACAUUUGGGAUAUCUAACCAAUCUUAAGUCGUCUCCUAUCGAACCAAAUUCACCCGGUGUCCAUGGUAAGACCGAGUCAAUUUUUAUUAGUACAAUAAUUUGUGUGUCCUUGUACAACUGCUACAAUAUCAUUUCAUCAUUGGAUUCCACCCUAAGAGAAAGAGAAGAAGAGGAGUAGACAAAAUUAUUCAAAUCUUACAUUAUUGUAAUCAUUAACUUAAAAGUUUCACAAUACUCGAAAAAAAGUUUCAAUACACAUUAAUUUUUCUAUAUAGAAAAAAACAAAAUCAAAUGUAUGCUCUACCCACUAUAAGGCAGGCGGUAGUACUACUAGUUACUAUUAAUUCACAUGCUUGUUAUUCUUUUUUUUGGACUAUUCAUGAUUUCAAAGUUCUUUUUUUCUCUUUUUUAUUAUAUUAUAUUUCCAAACUAAACAAUAGUUUUAGAGAUAGUUUGAAACGAUAAUUAUCUAAGACUUGACACUGUUUCAAAACCAUUUGUUUGCUAUAAUAUUUACUGUUUUAAAUUUAUCGUUCUUUUAUUAUUUACUGCAGUGUUUACUAUUAUAUAACCAAAUUAUCCCAAACACAAACUAUUAUAGUCUAACUUUUCUUAUAAUUAUAAUAACUUACUAUUUGUCUCAAACUUUCAUUCAUCUCUAAUAUUGACUCUUAUAAGUUUUUGUUUAUGAAUUAUGUAAAAUUAAAAGUUCAAAAAACUUAUUAGAUAUGAAAUUAAAAGUUGUGUUUCUUUUUUUUUAACAUUUUUUAAAAUAGCAAAAUAUGUUAAAAUAUUUACAAACUAUAACAAAAUGUAUAAUUCUAUCAAUGAUAAUCAUUGAUAGAUUCCUAUCACUAAAGACUAUCAAUGUCUAUUAUUGAUAAAAUUUAACCAUUUUGCUAUAUGUGGUAAAUAUUUUGUCAAAAUUACUAUUUUUGACACAUCUCUUUUUUUUUAUAGAUAUUUUGGAAGGUUCGUGGUUUGAUAGGAACUCUAAAAUUUUAGGAAUAUAUAUUGUCCAUUUUUCAAGUUAUAUUUAUUGAUCUCCUAUUUAUUUUUAAUUAUGCAUCCUUUUUCUCUACCUCAAUUUAAAAUAUGAAUUAGGUUGGUCUCAUUUUCAUACCAUUUUUAAUGUAAGUUAAAGUCAAACUAGUUUUUCUUUUUUUUCUCUUCCAAAGUUAGCCUAUUGUGCUAUCAGAUUCGAUUAGUGACAGUGUGAAUGUGAACCAACUCUUGUUUGUAUUAUACUAAAAAAGUAUAUUUGGUUAAUUUAUUUAUUGGAAGAAAAAAAAAUUAUUUCCAAUACUCAACCAAUUUUUACCAUAGGUGAUAGGAGCUUUAUUUAGUAAAAAGUUAUAGAUUUGAAUAUCCUACUCCAUGUAUUAUAAUAAUCGAGAUGAGUUAUCAAACUUUUAAAACGAAUAAUUGGUAUUUUAUCUUUUGAUCAUCUAUGUUUGAAUUGACAACGUUAGAAAUUUCUCAAUAACAAUAUUGUUAGUAAAACUAACCCUAUUGAACUUUACCAAAAGUUAGAAGGGAGAGGUUGGGCUUGGAUUCAAAUUAAUAUGACCAACCAAUCAUUGAACAAAUCGGAUCUAAUAUUAAUGCGUGUAGAAUAAGAAAAAAAAAACAUCUCAUUCUAAUUAUAAGAAAUAGCUAACUUGAAUUUUUUUAUUUUCUUUCUCCAUUUUAGACUUCUUUAUCUUUAAUUUGAGCAUCAAAGUCAUUUAUUUUUUCCCCCUGAACAACAAAUUUAUUGUUCAAUCAUACAAAUGUUAAAUGUUAUGCACGUUUUGUUUACAAAGAUUAAUCUCUUAACUUAAAAAAACAAUGUGUAGGUUAAUUUUGAUGAGUAAUCACUUCUGGUAACAAUGAAAUUUAGUUUUUUUUUUUUUUUUUAAGGUAAAACAAUGGACAAGAAUUAUAUUGGAAUUCAUAUUCAAUAAUGGAGAUGCAUAUGUGGCAAUUGACUUAAUUUAAAUAUAUAUAAUUUAGAAAAGAAAAUCGAAACCCUUUUUAUUAUUUUAUAUAUUCAAUUUUGAACUUGGUUUGGUUUUAAAGAGCACUUAAAAUUGCCUCACUUCACCAAAAAAAGAAAAAAAUUAAUCAAUACUCUUUAACAAUCAUUUUCAAAGACAUUUUCUCAUUAUAAAAACACUAUUGGUUGUUGACAUUGAAACUCAAACACCCAAUUCUUUUUACAAGAUUUUGAAACAUAAAAUUGGUGAAGCAUUGGGAAUUUAUUUUUAAAAUCAGUUGAUUGAAUCUCAUAUUUGCAUUAUUGAAGCAAAAGAUAUAUAAAUUUGUGAAAAAUAGAAAAAAAAGUUGGGAUGGUAAUAAAGUAAUUCCGAAUGAAGGAAAAGGGUCCUACUGCAUUAUUUCAGAAAAUAAAGAGUUGGAAAAAGAAAAUCUGAAAUUUGGAAACUUAUCGAAAUGGACAAAGAGAGGGAGAAAAAAAUAAAAGACUUUAAAAAUAAAUCACGUACAGACAGGAGCAGAAUAACAUAAAUUACAACCUGGCCCUGAUUUUCUUUCAUCUUCAAUCAAAUCAUCGCAGAGUCCAGACACGGCACUCAACGACGACUACAAAGAUGAUGAUGAUGAUCAAAUCAUGUAAAGAUCCAACGCUCACAAAUGAGACACGACCAAACCCAUCCGAUAAAAGAAACUUAACAAAACCAAAUACACCAGAUUAAAAAGAAAAGAAAAGAGUGGCCGCCGUCGCUGCCGCGUCCGCCGUGGGUGGUGGUGGUGCUUGACUUAGUAGUCGGUGGUUGGGAGUUGCUCGUGGGAGUUGGAGAUGAAGAUGAAUUCGUAGAUGAGACCAGCAAGGCCACCACCGAUCAAAGGCCCGGCCCAGUAGAUCCAGUGGCUUUCCCAUGACCAGCUCACGACUGAUGGGCCGAAUGCGACGGCGGGGUUCAUGGAGGCUCCGGUGAAUGCUCCACCGGCCAAAAUGUUGGCUCCGACGAUGAAACCGAUUGCGAUGGGUGCAAUUGUUCCCAAACUGCCCUUCUUGGGAUCCACUGCGGUCGCGUACACCGUGUACACCAAUCCGAAUGUCAUGACGAUCUCGAAAACGAAGGCGUUCAGUUCACCAACUCCUGCUGAUAGAGCGAAGCUUCCGGUGGGCUGUCAUGCACACGAAUGUAAACCCCAAUUAAAUUAAUAAAUGAAUAAAAGUGAUUUUCUUCCCAAGUAACUGAAAUAACGACAUCUUACCCUAACAUUUAGACUCUAAUAAUCCCAUAAAAUUCCAAAAGAAAAAAAUAGCCAUUUAAUAAGAUUGCUACAAUGUGGCUCCUUCCUAAUAAUUUUUCAGUCUAUGCUUAAAAUUAUAAAUGUAUCUUAAUAAUUAUUAAAUAUAAAUUUGAGAUACUUCAAACUUUCGGUAGGAUGAUUACUUACAUUUUUCAAAAUUUUUUAAUUUAAUGCCCAGAUAUCUUACAUUGUGUCAGUAUCAUUCAAUAAUAUUUAAUUUAAAAUUUGUAAGUGAGUUUAAUAAAAAAAAAUUAACAACUUAUUCAUUUUUCUUGGGUUUGCUUAAUUUUUUUUAAUGUUAUGUUAAGAUUGACUUCUUUUUUCUCAUUUUGACUGUGUUAAGACAUUAAUAAAUUUAGGUAAAACUCACCAAGCCAGUGACGAAUUUAAGGAGCAAGCAAGCGACAACGGAUCCGAGGAGUUGAGCAAUCCAGUAGAUGAUACCACGUAGAAGGGUGAUGUUACCGCCAACGAAGGCACCAAAGGUAACAGCGGGGUUAACAUGGCCACCGGAGAUGUUAGCGCCAACGGAGACGGCAACGAAAAGAGCAAAGGCAUGGGCGAUGGAGGCGGAGAUGAGACCAGCUGGAGUGGCAGCGCCGUCAUUGGUGAGCUUAUUAAAGGCUAUGCCGGAACCUUGGCCAGCAAAAACAAAAAUCAAGGUGGAGAUAAACUCAGCCAAUCCAGCCUUCAAAGCAUCUGGAUGAGUAGCCUCUUCGGGCCUUCCAAUUGCAAUGUUACGGAUCGGCAUGGCUAGUAAUAAUUAGAGAACUUUAAAAUGAAAAUUCUUUAGAAUUAAUUGUAGUUUGUAGUACUCCAUUUCCACGUCCAUUUUCUAGGCCUUAUAAUGGAACGUUGGAGGGUAGGGUUAACUGGCUACAACAGGUUGCCGGUAAUAAUAGAGGGCAAUUAAAAAAAAAGGAAAUGAAAAAUGAAUUAAUAGUUGAACGUGAUUGGUGGACAUGGCCAGGCUGUGAAAUAUAAGGGGAAAUAUUAAUUGGUUGCCGCUGUUAUCCGAUGACCGUCCAGAUCCAGCGAAGCAAUUCGGCGCUAGGGUGUUGAGAUGUUGACACGUGUCUAUGGCUGAUAGGGACACGUAACGUGCAAAUUAUGUGGAUUUCGUCUCCUUUCGCUUGUUCUCUGGAGACAUCGAAUCCACUUCCCACGUUCAAUUAUUUCUCCACUUUUCUUCAUUUUCAAUUUUCUUUCUUUUUGGAUUUCCCCCUUUAAUCUCAUUUAAUUUCAUCCUUAUUAAUCCUUUUUUAUUAAUUAAUGAUCCUCAAAAUCUCAAUUUUUAAAUUUUAAGAUAUCUUUUUUUCUUCUUUUGGAAGGUUUUCCAUUUAUUUAUUAUAUAUCAUAUCAACCACGUUUCGAAAAUUAAGAAAAAUAUUUUAAAUAACUAAAUUGUUAAAAUAUUUAAAUUAUAACAAAAGUAUACUUUAUUUAUCAUCGUCUAUCACGUAUAAAUCGUAUAUUAAUAAAUAAUUUAGUUUAUUUUGUAAUAUUGAAAAACAAUUCAAAUUUUUACUUAGUUAUUUACUGUGUUUUCAAUUAUAAACUAUGUGUGAUUUGAUAUUUACAAAUGUUAAUAAAAUAAAUUUUGACACUCCCUGUCAUCAAUAACUAUAUAUUUAUAAUUAAGAGAUAUAAAAUACAUUUAUUUGAAUUUUUUAUUAUAAACCAUCACAUAUAUUUUAAACAUAUAUAGACUUCAAGAGUAAACAUUUUUUUUUUAAUGUUAUUUGAUAUAAUCGGAGUAUAAUUUUACUUAUUUUUAUGUAUAAGUUUUUCAAAGUAAUUUAAUUUGAUUAAGUAUGAAUUAAAAUAAUACUAAUAAGAGUUUUAAUAAAAUGUUAAACCACCACUAUCAUUGUGGUUGUGACAAAAUCAUUUUCCAAUGAAGCACAAAGUCUAAUAUUAAUGAAUUUGUUUAAAUAAUUUAAGUUGUUUCUUCUUCUUCUUUUUUUUUUUUUUUUUGGUGGAUUAUGCUGGUGAUCUGUAGAUGGUUAUCUAAAUUAUCUUAAUGGAAUCUUUGGAUAAUUAAAGACCAAUGUGAUGAGAUUUAAUAAUACCACACAUAUGUAUGUAUGUGAUCUGAUCUAAUGAUAUAUUUUUUUUAAUUUAUUAUGAAAAUUUUCCACAUAUAUAUCAAAAUCAAAUAAACAAAUAAAAGAAACAAACUAGUUUUAAAAAUUGUCUCAUUCGGAUAAUCCAUAAAUUAAAAUUCUUUCUAUCUUCCUCUUAAUUUGCAUUUAUGUUAUUUUUAUUUUUUUAUUUUUUUAAUAUAUCCAUCUGCAUUAUCCAAAUGGGAACUCUUCUUCUUUUUCUUUUAUUUAUGGAGAAAAUUUUCGUAAUAAAUCUCAGAAAAAUAUUGCAAUAUAUCAUUAGAUCAGAAUGCAUCAACUUGCCCGUGACAAUUCAAUUUUUAGGAUAAGAAUCUCUCUCUAUGUGUAUUUCUGUAUAUUAUUUGUAUUUAUAAAUAUAUAUAAUGUUUUGGUUGAUAAACAUGAGGUUUGGUUUGGUUUUAUCUUGAAUUAGGUAAAGUAUUUAAGAAUGUUAAAGAUUUUUUUAGCAAAUUCAGAGAGUUGUUUGAGGUAACAACAAAUUCAAACAUUUUUUUAAAAAUAUUUUAAUACUCUUUAAAUUUUAAUAUAUUAAAAAAAUACAAGACAAACAAACAAAUAUUUUUAAUUACUUUAUCACGAUUGACAAAUAUAUUCGUUUCACUUUAGACGUUCAUAAUUUAUAUUAAUUCACAAAAUAACUUUAGAUCUAAAUGUUUUGAAAUUUUAUCUUAUAUCAUCUACAUUUAUAACUUUUUAUGAACUAUCUUUCUAAAAAGUUAAUGUUUUUAUAAACAAGGAAAAUACAAAAUAUGUAGAUAAGAAAUUGAAAAAAAUUUCGUUUAGAAGUUCCAAAAUGAACAUCGUAGACAAAGUUUUGUUUUAGGAGUUUUUAUUACUUGGUGUGCCUAUGUUUUCGCCGUUGACAAUCUUGUCCUCGUUAGUUUUUGUCAAUGCUAAUUGAAAAUUAGUUGUGCGUAUUUGUUUACGCUCUUUUUAACUUAGUUUCUUGUUAACUUGAUCCAUUGAAUUGUUGUAAAAUUUUUACAAUGAUUUAUGGCCUCUAAUUUGAAAACAAAAUAAAUUUAUUUUUGGGAUAACAAUAAGACAAACUAAGCAUCCAAAUAUUAAUAUUAACCCUUUAAUAUAUAGUAGAAUAUUCUAUUGGAUGUUCGUUCCAUUUUUUUCUCUCUUUCUGACUUAUUAACAAAUCAUUGUAAACGAUGAUCCCACCAAUCAACAUGGGAUAAAUAUCAACUUCAUUAAACUUCCUUUAUAAUCUAUACAUUGUUUUCUAUUUUUAAAUAAAUAAUAAUAACAACAAUAAUAAUUCAUAUUCUCCCUUUUUCUCAUAUCCUAAUUUUAAUUCAAAUGUCAUAUUGGUGUGACAAGUCUCUUUUACAUAAUAUUUGUUCUCUUUAAAAAAAAUCUUGAACCUUCCAUUUAAAAUUUUGUAACUAUUUAUGACUUUUGCUAUUUCACACCAUCCAGUGUUUGGUUCGUAAUUGAUUGAGUCUGCAUAAUACAAUACAAGGUCUAGAAGCUGUCCCAUGGUUUGUUUGUAAAUUUGUCUACUCUUUUUUAUAUAAUCAUGAACAAAAGAAAAUAAAAUGUUCGUUGCUUUUACAUUUAUGCAUCCAUAACAAUUUUAAUUCAUCAUAGGUUAAAAUUGUUUACGGUUGUCAAACACAAGUAAUCUUUUGUUUUUAAAAUUACUUAUUUUUUAAAUUUAGCCGUUAAAAGAUGUAUAACAAACUUACCAAUAUUAUUUUAAAAUAUAAUUGUUUGUAAUUAUUUAUUUUAGUCUCUAACAAAUAAUUAAAUAUUAAAGUGGAAAAAAACACAAAUUUUCUUCAAUAAAAUGGAUAGAGAAUUUGGAACUCGGAAUUGAAUUAUAAAAUUUAAGUUAUGAAGCAUGUGUUAAAGUGUAAAAUUGGAAGGUAAAUUAUUUUGAUAAAAUGGUAAAAGAGAAAAGGAUAAAAAAAAAAAAAGGUAAAAUUUCUUAGGUGGGGUUGUAGUGUGGUUUAAUUUGAGCCACAGAAUGAAAGUACACAAUUUUGUGUUAUUUAAAUGAGAGGGAGAGAGUUAGUGAAGGUCUCAAAAGCAGAAGGAGAUAAGAUAUCCCACAAAUGGGUGCGGCAUCUAAUGAUUUAAGCUUGAAAAUGACCAAUUUUCUUUUCUUUUAUAUGUAUGUGUGUAUUAUGUAUUUCUAUUUUUAAUUUUUUUUUUUUUUGCUUUCAUUAUUAUAUUAAGAAAGUUUGCUUUUUGGGUGUGGGGAAAAGACGUAGAGAAUUCUGGAAUAUGCCAUCAUUGAUAUUUAAAUUCAGCGCCAAACUUUCUAAUUUUCAUUGCCUUUUAAUUAUAUUUUAGGUUUCUCUUUAAAUCCUACCAAAAUUAUUUGUUUUCAAUCCCGUGUAGCAGCAACUCGUUUGGUAUAUGUUCGAGAGUAAUCGUUUAAUAUAUGUAUGAUAAGUAAAGGUAAAAGUUUAAUUACUCAAAUAAAUACUUAACACUUUUAUACAAUUUUUAUUUAUUUAUUUCAAUAAUAAUGUAUGGAGUUAAAUAGUUUAAUUAAACGUUUUGGUUAUUGGUUAUAGAUGCAUAUAAUAUAACUAGUUGGUGAUAAAAAUUCAAAUUUUUUUAAACAUUUGAUCAUAAUAUGCUUAUCAAUGUAGUGGAAAAUGAAAAUAGAAAGAAGAAAAAAAAGACUACAAAUACAAGAAUUUGAAAGGGCAAAUUGAAUUGAUAAGGUCAAUAUGAAGGUGGGGAACAUAAAGAAUCACAUACAUGUUAAAGCCAGGCUGCCAUUUGCUCAUUGGCCUUCUCUUUCUUUUGUUGUCUUAUGGAAAUUGAAACUUGAAGGGAUCUUUCACUCUAUCACUCCCUGAUUCUGUGGCAAAUCUUUGUCAUUUUACUCUUUUAUUUAUCACUGCCCUAUCAUUUUUUGUUUACUUCAGUUACCUUAUGGUUAUGGGAGAGUAACACAAAUUAUUUCAUUUAUGACAUGAUGUUUGUGUGUCAGUGAUGUAUGAAUACGAUCUUUUUCAUGGGAAACGCUCUUAGUUUUGUUGGUUAUGUAGAGUUCUGAAAACAUCAAUAUGUCACUUUUUAGUCAUGUUAAGUACAACGGACCUUCAGAUAUCUCCACAAUGAUAUGAUAUUUGUCCAUUUUGAACAUACAUUCUCAUGAUUUUGCUUUAGCUCAACAAUCUAUAGUGGUUGGUCGUCCAUUCGACCACGAACAUGUACUUUGAACAUAACUAUGUCUCAUUCGACAACUAAGGAUUUUUUUUAGUGAUGAGACAUUAUUCUAACACCAAUUUAUUAGGGACAACAAACCUUCAAAUAUAUCUUCACAAACUUUAGGCAGGACUCUCAUGAUCACUUUGUUUUUUUGGAUUCACCCAAAAAAGUUUUGUACCAUUGGAGAUAGUUGUCAUCUCUUAUAAAUCAUGAUUAUUCUCUUAUUUAACUGACGUGAGACUUUGAUCGCAUUCCCACUUAAAAAGCUUUGAUUUUUAAAAAAUUACUUGAUGGUUUGAAUCAUUCCAUUAACGAAGUUACAAGUUUUUGUCAAUGAGAAUUUAGAUCGAUUACCGACAAAUAUAGGUUUGCUUGCAACUUUUUUUUUGGUCAAAGGUUUAUUGAUGCAUUGCUCAUUGAUUACCAUGUUAUUCAAUCAACAACCAACCUUUGGUGUUUAAUUAGAUUAAAUUAAAGAUCAUCCUCAAUGGAUGAAUGAAUUUUCUUGUGUCUCUUGAGGAUCUUGUUUCUUUUACUUAUUUUUUUUAUAAUAUAUGAUAGAUAUACAUGCACGCGAUAAAAAAAAUUAUGAGGUGAUAAACGUAAUAUUUAAUGAAACAUAAUAGCUAUUUGUGACUCUCUCAAACCACAACUACACAUUUUUCACAUUUUCUUUAAAUUUAUAGGGUUUGUUUGUUCUCCUUACACUACACGUGAGGAAAGAGACCUAUCUUUCUUUUUUGUCUCCCUUCUUUCCAUAUCAUCAUAUAUUUUUAGUUGUUCGUUAUAGUAAUUUGAUCAUAUUUGUAAAAACGCUUCGAAGGUAGAACAAACCAAUCAAGCUUAUAUAUAAAAAAAAAAAAUUGAGAAAAUGAACAAAUCUAUGAUUUUUUUUUAAAAAAAUCUAAACAUAAUUUCAACUUGCUCGACCGGUUCAAUUGCGACCUCAUACUACAAUUGCAUCAUCGCUCUCAAUCUAUACCCUAAUAAUAUCGUUAAAAGUUUACGUCGUUGGGCCUAUUUUCAGUAGAAGGUAUCCUAACCAAUAAGCUUUGAGAAUGAUAGUAAAAACGAGUGGUUGGUGGUAAUGAAAACGAAAGGAAACAAUGGUCGGUUACAACACCUUUUCCUUUCCCCAUUUUACCCUUAUUAUAAUUCACAUAAUUUAUUUUGGGUUGAAUCUCCUCGUCUCAUUCAAUACUUUUAUUACAAUUAAACCGACACAUAUUUAUUAUAAUUUUGACUUGAGUUUGUUCAAUAAUAUUAAACUACGUCAAAAAUAAGAGAGAGGGGCAUUUAUGAAAAAUCCCUUCAAACUUGAUUUGUCGUGCCGAAAUUGGAGAGUUGCUCUACGCCAGCCAGGGCCUAAGCUUGUGGGUGCGACGCAUGGUCGGCGCUUGGACGGCCCAGUUGGGCCAUUGAAAACGACUACAAUUUUGGAAAAUCUAUAACAUUUCUUUUUCAAAUUUCAAAUUUUAAUUAAAUAUCAAUCAAAAUGGGGCGGUGUCCCACCCUUUUACAUAUUCAAACCGAUAAGAACAACAAAUAUCUUAUCUGUUUAUUUAUAUAGCCAUUCUCAAAAUAAUAAUAAUUAAAUUGGUACACUCCAGAGAUGAACCUUUUCUUUUUCUGAUUGGAGAAGAAGGCAGUCUCAUCUACGUCUAAGUAAUUGGAUCUAUAGGAACCAUUAGAAAGUGUGUAUAUGUGACAAAUAGUUUUAGUAUUAAUUAUUAUUUGGAUGGUUUGAUUGGUUUAGGCGAGGUGGGGCAAGGGAAUUGUAGAGUAAUAUUUGACGCAUUGGAAGUGCAAAAUAUUUGGGCUCACUGUCGGUUGUCUUUUUGUUGGGUCGUCACCGCCCACUCUCACUACUACUCCGACCAUACCAAAUUUUCUCUUUGACCCAUUUAAAGUAAUGGACACUUUCAUUUUGUAAAUUUGUAUAUUGUUUAACGUGGAGGGUAAAUGCAAAUAUAAUAUAAUAACCAACCCUUUGAUAUCUAUAAAAAAUGAUCGGUUUAAUAAAAAAACUUAUAAAAGAUAAAUUUAAUGUAAUAUCACACCAUUAAAAGAUAAAUUUAAUGUUGUCUUCUGUCUACGAUAUAAAUAAAAUUAUCGAUAAUAUUGAUGUUUUUCUCUCUCUAUUUUAUAUAAUGUUUUAUUAUUGUGAGAUAAGGAUGUAAAUAACUUAAAUAGAGAGUUUUUGUAUUGACGUGUGAGAUAUAAUCAUACUUUUGGAUUAUAUAUAUAUAUAUGAUGUACUUGUGUCCAUAAACUCCGUCGUUUUUUUAUGGCAAAUGAUCCCAACGGACAUCAAGUAUGCAUGUUCGAUUUCGAAAUUAGAGGUUUGAUAUUUCAUUCUACGUAUUGUAAAAAAAUAGUUGGAAUUUUGAUUUUCAACUUUUAUUUUCUUUGUUUUUGUUUUUUAUUUUCUUCUUUUCAAAAUCUUAGAUUUUGUAUUAACAUGUUUUGUUAGCGUAGAUUUUAUGUUUAUCGAAUCAAUUUUUGAAUUAAAUCAUUAUGUUUUUUUUUUUUCAUGUUGCCAAAAUUUUAAAACCUAUUUUAGUUGGAAAUUUAAAAACAUAAAAGUUUGGAGUUGUAUUUCAUGUUUUCAUUUGUUAACAAACCAAUUAACUUAUAAACUUAGUUUUAUGUUAAACAUGUAUUGUAAUUUCUAGAACAUACAGUCAAAUUAUGUGGCCAAAAAGAGCAUAUCCCAACUUACAAUAUAAAUACAAUUGUGACAAAAAAAAUAAAUUAAUGGUUUGUAUCUUCCAAUCCUUCCUAUUGUACUGAAAAAACUAUCAAUCCUAACAUAUAUUUUGUAAAUCAAACAAUUAUUAAAAAUAUAAGACAAUAUAAAAAAACCACAAAUAUAAUAGUAAUUACAAUUAUAACUCAAACUUCAAAUGACACAGAUCCAAUUUCUAUAACUAUGAAGGGCGUUUGGAGGAAAGAGAGAUUUAUGAUAAGAUUAGUGUUAUGAUAAUUCUAGUAUUAUAAUAGUUCUAGUGUUAUGAUCAUAUGCGUUUGAAGAAAGAAUUACGAUACGUAGGGUUAUGAAUAGUAUAUAUAUGAGAAAAGGAUUAUGAUACUAUUGUUGUGAUGUUUUCUUUUUCUAAAAUAUAUAGUGUAGAUUUAAUACACAAAUUUCGUAAAUUUAUUUUAUUAAAUUAUCUUAUGGUAUUCGUUCAAUAAAUUUAGCAUCCAUUGUGAUGUUUCGUUUUUUCUUUCAUGCAUAUAUAUUGCAUAUUGAAUUAAAGAAACUUCCUAAAUCGAACGUACACAUCAAUAAUUUAAGAUGUGAUAUUGUGUUUGUACUUGUUUGUUUUUUCAUGCAAAUAUAUAUUUGUCAUUAGAUGGAAUAAUUUUCUUAAAAUCAUUUUUUUUAAUUUUCUUAAUUACGACAUUUAUUUCAUAAAUUUUCUAUUAAAUCGUUACUUUUACCACUUUUUCCUUUUUUGCGUACACAUGUAAGGGAAAACAUGUAAACACAAACCAUUAUUAUUAAAAUUGCUUACGUAAGAUUCUUUUUCCAUUAAAUUUCGAUCUAUCUCAACAUAAUGCUUACAUCGACAUACUAGUUUAAGUAUACAUCGCUACUAUUCGUAACUUUAGUGAUAAAGCAAUGCAAAAGACAUUUCAAAUACGCAUUUCCACGUUUCUCAUCCUCUUUAAUUUAUGGCUAAGAUAUUUUCUUAAAAAUAACUAAAAAGUGUCUAGGUCUAAUUUAUUAUAUUCUAAGCAUUGUUAUUUUUAAUUGUCACAUGUCAUCCAAAAAAUAGUACAAAAAUCUACAUUACAUCUAAACAUUUUUUUCUUUUUACCACGUACUAGCUGUGAGUAAUUUUAAGCUUUAAAAACUUUUAUUUUAAAAAAAAACAAUAAAAUUUAAGAUCAUUUUCUAUAAUUUAGUUAGAAAACAAGACAUUUAUUAGCUAAAAUUAAAAUAUUUGGAUAAGAUUAAUAAGAACUAUAUUGAUUUUCAAUUGAAUAACUUAAUUAAAAAAAACUAUUUAGUUAAAGAAGAGUGCAAGUAUAGACUCCCACUUUCGUUUAUUUAAAGAAAAAAAGAAAGAAGAGGAAAACCCAUGCGUUUAGGGUUUAGUAUGUAUACAUGGGUCAUGUCAAUAGGCUUUUUCGUAAUAUUCUCCUUUAAAUCUUCUUCUACAUUUUCGGAGGGGCUUACCCGAUUCACCCUUGAUACACCCAAAUAGCCCCUAAGUUUGAAAGUUAAUAGUGUGAUUGCAAUUUCCACCCGUUUUUUGUUGUCUUCUUUUGUUUUGUUUUUUUCUUUUAGUCGCAAAAUUUCCAAAAUAUAAUGACAAGCUGGUCCAACAUAUAGCCCAAUUCAAAAGCAGUAUACUAUAAAUGGGCCGAAAGCAGUGUCCUAAAAGUGGGCCAUUUUUCGGCCCACACUUACAUUGACCUCAAACGGCUUAGCCCUCCAAAAAUGGAAAUGUGAUGGAGACGUAGACGUAGGAUAAUUGUUGCUAAAAGUACUCUUUGAUGAAGAAUUAACGUGGUAAUAGUGCAGUGCAUGUUGCAUAUACAAUCUCAUGGUCACAUCAAUUAAUGCUCUAGAAUUGAGAAGUCCAGCUACUCGUGGUCACAAAACGUAUGUUCGAACGUUAAAUAAUAUAAAUUUAAAGUAAGAUAAAAUGAGAAUAAGUAAAUAUGAAACGAUAUUUUCCUUGGUCGAUGGACAUUGUCUCGUUUUAAGCUAUUGAGAAUUUAAUAACAAAACAUUAGAAAACUAUUUCUUUCAGUUUUGACUUAUUUUUCCCUUUAAAUGUGAAAAUAGCCUGAAAUAUCAUAUGUAGAUAUAAUUAGACUAAUUCCAUAUCAUUCGGCUCGAAUUUUUGCCUCUUCACAUCGAUGAUUGAAAAUCAUUAACCAAGGGCGUCAAAUUUAAUCAUAUUUAUUUAAUAAUAAUAAUUAUAAAUUAAAAACACAAACCAAAUAAAUAUUUUUGAGCGUUUUUAUCAUUCGCUCAAAGUAAAUAAAUCAAGUUCAAAACAUAUAUUUAUUCGAUGAAAAACAUAUUCAAGUUUGAUAUGUAUUCACACUUUAUAUAACUUUGUAUAACGUAAAAUAAAAAAUACACUUUUUCAAUAAAUAACUAUCAAGCUUUAGUCAUAAAGCAUAGUAAACUUAUUUGAUUUGUACUAUACACCUCAAGUUUUAAGCAUAGAUUUUGAAUUAACAAACCACUUCAUUUACAAAGUUCUAUGAUCUAAUCUAAAUAAACUAUCUUUCUUGAUCUAUUGUAAUUUACGGUAAAUAGAAUAUAACAUAGUAUUAUAUUUGAAAUAGUUAUCAUUUACAUAUUCUUAAAACUUUAGAAGAAAAAGAAAAUAAUCAAACUAUGUUCUUAAAAAGAAAAGAAAAUAAAUAAAGAAAGAAAGAAGGAAAUGGGGAAUUAUUAUUAUUAUUUAAAAGCGAAAUGAAUAAAAAUGACUAAACCCUCCAGUUGUUCCUUUUCCAAAACCUCCACGAUUUUCGUUCUUCUUCCUCCCGCCGUCGCCGCAGCCCACCCUCCAAUAUCCCUGCUGCAGUCGAACGCCGGCCUGGCACGCCAUUCUCGCAGCUCUAACACCCACCUACGUUCUUCUACGGCUGCUAGUCGUCAGUUCCACACUUAGUCUUCCACGGCCUCUCCAUGGUGAAGGCCUACCUUCGAUACGAGCCUGCGGCGGCUUUCGGAGUGAUCGUCUCUCUUGAUUCCAAUAUUACCUACGAUAGUUCCGGAAAGCAUCUUAUUGCUCCAGCUCUUGAAAAAGUUGGAGUCUGGAAUGUUCGUCAAGGUGUCUGCACCAAGAAUUUAACACCUACUCAGAGCUCUCCUGGCCCUUCUCUUGCUGUUACGGCCGUCACUUCCGCUCCUUCUCUUCUGGUUAGUCGUUUUCUUAUGGCAUUCCGAAAUAAUUUUGAAGUUACUAAGUUUGAGAUUCCUUCUACAGAAUAUGAAAUAUGUCUGUACUCUGAAUUGUUAAAUUUCAAUUGAUUUCAGAAAACUAUUUUAAUAGAAGUUCUUACCGCCAUCAGGUCCGCGGUGAUUUGUUGAGCCGAAAGCUUAUUCAUUAGUGAUGGUGACAAUAUCUUGAGGAAAAAAAUUGAUAGAAACUUUUAUUAAUUUUCAUCUUUAUCUUAAGUUGAAUUUUUGUAUGCAUGGAUGCUUGGAAGCAAAAAUUUCUUUGUCAAUUGAGAAAAACAGAAAACACUCUUAGGGCUUGAGAUUCAUUUGGUGUUAUGCUCAUUAUGCUUGUUAUAACUAGUGAGAACUGGCUGGAGGUUUGGUUCCAUUUCUAAACAAAGCAGUAUUUUGGCUCUGCCUGACUUUCUAUACAAUGGGGAAGUUGAAUUUCCAUUCAUUUUUAUUUUUAUUUUUUAUUGUUACAGAUCGCCAGUGGAUAUGCUGAUGGUAGUAUAAGAAUUUGGGACGCCGACAAAGGAACCUGUGAGACUACUUUACAUGGACAUAAAGGGGCUGUUACCGUCCUUAGGUACAACAAGCUUGGUUCCAUGCUUGCAUCUGGAAGCAAAGAUAACGAUAUUAUAUUAUGGGAUGCUGUUGGUGAGACAGGCCUUUUUCGCCUCCGUGGCCAUCGUGAUCAGGUUCACAAGUAUUACAAUUUGAUUGGAGCUAUUUUUUUUUUUUUUUCAUAUUUGAUUCUCUGAUAAAAAGAUAACUUCUUUUAUCAAGCUGAACCUGGUACACCGAAAGUAGAGCUCAAGUCUUCCUCCACUGCUUUGUCUUUUCUGUCCAGUGGAGUUUUUUCCUUCAAAAUGGCAGAUAUCGUGAACCUCUCAUUUGAAUUAUUGUGCCCACAUUGCUCCGAAAUUCGAUGUGCCAUACACUUUUCCAGCACCAAUUUUUCUUAAGAUUUCUAAACUACUCAAUUUAGAUUCUUGGCCUCUUCCCUUCAUUCAACUUUAUUCUGAUUUAGUUGGUUUAGGUUCUUGUCUAUGUAGAACUCAAGGACAUGGUUGUUCAACCUAUGAAACAUAUCCCGUUCACGUUAGAUUCUAAGCCUAAUUUUGUUGAUGAGUAUAUUUUUUAUGUAGUUCUCCUGUCAAAGGAUUUUCCCCCCUCCCCAUCUUUUUAGGUAGGCCUGAUUCAGUUGAUUACUAUCUUCUAGCAUGUGUAGAUUAUAUAAGAGGCCUGUCAUUCUCAUAGCUAUUUUCCUGUUCACUAAUGCCUUCUCCUUAUUCUUGGUGCAGGUAACUGAUCUGGUAUUUCUAGAUUCAAGCAAAAAACUCGUCAGUUCUUCCAAAGACAAAUUUUUAAGGGUGUGGAAUCUUGAAACACAGCAUUGUAUGCAAAUAGUUGGUGGACAUCAUAGUGAAAUUUGGUCAAUGGACAUUGAUCCAGAUGAGCGUUUUUUAGUUACUGGAUCUGCUGAUCAAGAACUUCGAUUUUUCACAACUAAACACGAUUUGGUGGCUGGUAAGUCUGUCGAUGAAUCAAACACAAAUGGAACCAAGGACAGUGAUCAAUCCACUCAAAGUAAAUGGGAAGUUCUAAAACAGUUUGGUGAAAUUACGAGACAAAGUAAGGAUAGAGUUGCCACUGUGAGGUUUAACAAGUCCGGAAAUUUGUUAGCUUGUCAAGUGGCAGGAAAGACUGUUGAGUUAUUCAAUGUUUUGGACGAAACUGAAGCUAAGCGUAAAGCAAAACGUCGUAUUAAUCGGAAGAAAGGAAAGAAAGCUGGAAAGGGAGAACAAGAUGUAACAGAAAAUGGAGAGUCAAACCAUACUACUGGAGAAGAAGGAAGCGGCUCCAUGAUUACAGUUGCAGAUGUCUUUAAGCUACUCCACACAAUUCGGGCUAGCAAGAAAAUUUGUUCAAUUUCUUUCUGUCCAUUGAUUCCAAAAAAUUCGAUCUCCACAGUAGCAUUAUCUUUGAAUAAUAAUUUAUUGGAAUUUUAUUCCGUGGGAAGCAGUGCAGUUACGAAAUUACAUUGUAUUGAACUCCAGGGUCACCGUUCUGAUAUCAGAAGUGUAACACUUAGUUCCGAUAAUUCACUUUUGAUGUCCACUAGUCAUAAUGCUGUAAAAAUUUGGAAUCCAAGUACUGGAUCUUGUCUUCGUACUAUUGAUUCUGGCUAUGGGCUUUGUGGUUUAAUUAUUCCUCAAAACAAGUAUGCACUUGUUGGAAAUAAAAGUGGGGCUAUAGAAAUUUUGGACAUUGCAAGUGGCAGUUGUGUCGAAGUCUUAGAAGCUCAUGGUGGCUCUAUACGAUCAAUUGUGGCUUUACCGUAUGAAAAUGGAUUUGUCACUGCUAGUGCUGACCAUGACAUUAAGUUUUGGGAGUAUCAUAUUGAGAAAAAAUCGGAACAAGUAUGUUCUCUUACUUCUUUCAUCUCCAUAUUUUUCUAUUUUGACUUAAAGAAAAUUCUUUUAUUUAGGGGUAUUGUUUUAUUUCUUUUGUGAUAAAAUGAAACUUGAUUUUCUCAAGUAAGACGGGCCUUUUCCCUGAAGUAGUUUGGUGCACAAUGACUACUUUAAUAUGUCUUCUUCUUGGCCACUUGUAAUUUGAUCAAAAAUCAUUUUUGUCUGUGCAUGGUUUCAAAUUUUAGAUUAUGAAUUCCUUGAGUUACAAAAGAAUUUGGAAUGUAACUUUUUACAAGAUUAUAAAAGCCAAAGGAGUCAUACAGAAGAGACUGGUCUUUAAAAGUUCAAUUUUUUCGUUCAGGCCGUAAGUGCCAGACAAGCAUUUUAAUGACACAGCUACCGAAAACCCUAGCUUUAGCUAGCAAAUUCAAACCAUCAAGACCUUCAAGGAGCCAUCCCCCUAGGACUUCCUUGAUUACUACUUCUUUUAAUAAAAUUUUCAUGAGAUAAACUUGUCUCAGAUAUUUUAAUUUUCUGUAAGAAUACAUUUUAGCUUUGUGCUUAAAUUGAUCUUUGACAAUGAUUCUGGCUGCUUUAUAUUUAGGUUUAGUAAAUAUUAUAUGUGGAUGAACUGUUUGAAGAAUCGAGGAUGUUUCAUAUUUGGAUUUAUCAAUGUGAUGUCUUUUUCAGUUUCCUUGUAAUUUAUUUCCACUCUAGAUAUAUAUUCAGUGUUAUAUGUGGCCUUUGGGCAUCAUUAGAAUCUAUGCCUUUUUAGGUUUGUGAUGUUCCAAUGAUGUUUUCUGAUUUACAGGACCCCAAAACCCUUUCUGUGACAUUUGUGAGGAGUAUGAAGAUGAAUGAUGAUGUUCUUGUGGCUGCUAUUAGUCCUGAUGGUAAAUAUCUUGCUGCAGCGCUGUUGGAUUCCACAGUGAAGGUGAACUUUUCCUUGUUAAAUUUUUACAUUUUUAUUAUUGUUGUUUUGUGAUUGUGAGCACAUGAAACCUUCUAUUAUUGUGUGUUUGUAUCAGCUUCUUGAGUAUUGCUUUUGAUACAGCUAAAGUUCAAUUUGGAGGAGGUGACAUUUACAUUUCUUUGCUUCGGGCUUUGUUCACUUUUUAUUUACAUAAGUCAAGUCAUCCCUUGUCAUGUGGCGUUGUUAAUGACUUUGUAUCACUUAUUUUGAAGUAAUCUGGACAGCCCCAGUAAGACUGUAUUUGGCCUUUCAGCUUGGGGUAGUUUGGUACGGUUACCUAAGAAGCACACUGUUAGACGUUGAGUUAAAUAUCUCACUUCUCAAGAAUUGUGUUAAAUCAUCAACCAACCCAAAAGCCAAAGUUGUUGGCCAUGGUAAAUUUAAUUAUAUGAAUACUUAAACACUCCCACACUUUUAGGCUUUGAAAUUUGUAGAAUUUAUAACAAGUGAAAUUUAAUAUUAAUCAAGGAGAAGUGACUUUUCAGUAGUUAAAAUUGUAGCCGUACCUUCUUCUUUGAUAUUAUAUUAAAUCACCAAUCAACCCAAAAGUUCAAGGCGGUGGAUUACGAUAAAUUUAGUUAUGUAAAUACCUCGACAUGUUUUGUAUUUUUGGGUUUGUAUUAAGAGAUAAGACAUAGUUCUUAUACCUUUACCUUCAGACUUUUUUUUUUACUAAUAUGUCUAUCUCAUGCUUAUAAAAUAAAACCAAAGGUAUUACUGUUAGUGAUAUAUAAUUAAAUUUUCUUUCCACCACUAGCUUAAUUUUUUGGGUGAAUUGGAGGUUUAAUAUGGUUUCAGAGCAGGUGAUCCAGGAAGGUCCUGUGUUUAAGCCGCUGCAUUGUCGUUUUCUCUCCAAUUAAAAUUGAUUUCCACUUGUUGGGCCUUUCAAAUAUUUCGAGCCCACAAGUGAAGAGAGUGUUAGUGAUAUAUAAUUAAAUUUGUCUUCAAUCACUAGCUUAAGCUAUUGAUGGUUUAGUAAUUACUACUUUAUUGCUUCAAGUUAUAUUUUCUGACUGCUUGUGUUCUCUCCAUUCUAGGUCUUCUUCAUGGAUACCUUCAAAGUUUUCCGUACUCUAUAUGGUCACAAGCUACCUGUGCUAUGUAUGGAUAUCUCAUCAGAUGGAGACUUGUUAGUGACUGGCUCUGCAGACAAAAAUUUAAAGAUUUGGGGUUUGGACUUUGGUGACUGUCACAAGUCUAUUUUUGCUCAUUCAGAUAGGUGAUGCAUUCAACAUAUAUGUAUUUUCAUUUGAAAAUGUUGUGGAAUGUUUAUUGAUUGUAAUUUUCUGGUUACAGUGUCAUGGCUGUUCAAUUUGUGAGGAAAACUCACUAUGUAUUCAGUGUUGGAAAGGACCGCCUUGUAAAGUAUUGGGAUGCUGAUAAAUUUGAGUUACUUUUAACGCUUGAGGGACAUCAUGCUGAUGUUUGGUGUCUUGCUAUCAGCAACCGUGGUGAUUUCUUAGUCACAGGAUCUCAUGAUCGAUCCAUACGUCGGUGGGAUCGAACUGAAGAACCGUUUUUCAUAGAGGUGCAGUCACUUGUUUCUUCAAGAGUAUCAAAUGAUAUUCUAUCAAUGGACGAUAUUCUAUUAAUGCUGUUAUUUAAUGUUUAAUAUGCUCCUAUAAUAAUUAGAAUAUACAAUAUUCAAUGUUGUGUUGGAUUCUCCUUUUUUCAGGAGGAGAAAGAAAAACGACUGGAAGAAAUGUUUGAGGCCGACCUUGACAAUGCAUUUGAGAACAAGCAUAUGCCCACUGAAGAAGUUCCAGAGGAGGGUGUGGUUGCUUUGGCUGGGAAAAAGACUCAAGAGACUAUUUCGGCUACAGAUUUGAUAAUUGAUGCUCUAGACAUGGCAGAGGCAGAAGCCAAGCGUAUAGCUGAACAUGAGGUCUGGAAACUUUUAACAAGUUUCAUCAGUUUUACUUUGUUCAAGUUUUACGAUUUAAUGUUUUGUACCUUACGGAAGACUGUUAUAAUGUUUUGUAUUUAGGAGGAGAAAAGAAACGGGAAAGCUUCUCAUUUUGAGCCAAAUGCUCUGAUGCUUGGGCUCUCACCAUCUGAUUAUGUUCUCCGUGCCCUCUCAAAUGUUCACACAAAUGACUUGGAGCAAACGUUACUGGUAUGUUGUGAUUUGUGAAUCAAGGAUUCUCAGUUUCAUUCAUGCAAAUUUUAAGGCUUGGUAUAUCGAUGCUGGUUCUCAUGAUAGAAGUGCAUUGCCAUUUUUUGUAAGAUAUCAUUGUUGUCUGGUACUAAAAAUACAGUGGUUAUCUAUAUAUACACAAACCUAUUACGUAUGCAAAAUUUUUGUCCUUAUCCUCUUGCUAAGCUUGACUGUGUAUGUGUCGUAGUAGUUACACAUUUUUUUUAAUUUCUUCUGGUUUCUUUGGCAUGUUAAAUGUUUUUCUAAAAUCGACUAGAAACUGGGGUUCCUUAGCGAGCUUGUACUGUAUAUUGUUUAUCUUCAGGUUGCAAAUUCUAGUUUCAACCUUGAGUUUGGUGUUCAAUACUGAAAGCCUCAUUGCCAUUUUGUUUCUCUACAGGCUUUACCAUUCUCAGAUUCUCUGAAGCUUCUAUCUUACUUGAAAGAUUGGACUUCCAAACCUGACAAGGUAGUCCUAGACUCCUAAUUAAUUUCUGGCUACACAUGUUCUGAUUAUCUAGUUUCUUACAAACAAUAGCUUCAGACCUUCUAGCACAUUCUUCGUGUACUUAAUGUGUUAUCUUUUCGUUCAUUUGAUUGGCAUUUAAUUUGGUAAGUUCAAGUUUAUGGAUUCUAUUCAUUAUGAAAAUAUGUUUUUUUUGGAAUGUUUUAAUAGUUCUUUUACAAGAUCACCCCGGUUGCUUCGUCUAGGGAAUGUAUUAUAAGGAGAAAGAGCAUAAGAUGUUGCAUGAAUGAAGUUAAUAAUACUAGCAGGAUGAAAACAUUCAAUAGGUACUAUUCUAUAAGUGACCUUGAUAUUAAUGAAUGCUUAUUUAUGUGAUAUCUGCAGGUUGAGCUCAUUUGCAGGAUAUCUACAGUUUUACUGCAGACGCACCAUAAUCAGCUUGUUACUACCCCUGCGGCAAGACCUGCAUUAACUAUUUUACGAGACAUUCUUUACGCUAGAAUCAAGGUACUCCUGCGAUUAUUUUAAGUUUUUAUAUGCUUUCUCCCUCUAUUUCUCAUUUGUUUCUUGAUGUGAGCACUUCUUCAUGACAACUAUGAUGUAGACAGGGAGAAUAGUCUGCGAGCCAUUAAAUAGGGAUGGAUAACUGUUAACAACUUUAACCCUAGUAGUUACAAGGUUUAAAUCUGAACUCAAUUAGUCAUCCACUUAGUUGAGGCUGUAAAAACGACUGUAACUGGGCUAAUGAAUAAAGCUCAAAACCGACAGAGAUUUAGAAGAUAGAUUGGUUUGAACUUUAAACCAUAACUUUAAUCAAGAGAAGUAAGUGAAAGAACUAUUCAAGAAUGACACAAGAUGUCCGACAUCAACGUUACUCACUUAUGGUUAAUGACUUCUAACAUUCCACUUCUGCGAGGAUAAACUCACUUUCCGUAAUACGUAUGAAAGUACCGAAAGCCGUGAAGUUGCUAAAAUGAGCUAAUUGUAAGAAGACAAUAAUGAUGAAAUAAAGCUUCGAAGAGGACUUGAAAUGCCCACGACCCAAAUUUUCUCCUUUGAUAUAUUAAAACCAUAAAAUUUAGGUGUUAGAGUUGCGAUUACAAAAAAAUGUGACAAUUCUGAUCCCCAAAUUUCUUCAGUAUUGAAUUACCAUAUGAUUUAGCUUGUUUUUUUCAUUAAAAUUGAAUUAGCAAAAUAUGUGUUUCAUUGACAAUAUGAACAUCUAAUGUCUUAGGAAUGCAAAGACACCAUUGGUUUCAACUUAGCAGCGAUGGAUCAUCUUAAGGUUUGUGUUUCAGUUUCGAAUCCUUUUGCAAUUGAUUUUCAUGAUAGGCAAUUUGAAUAAGUUAUUUUCAUCAUUUCAGCAACUAAUGGCCAUGAGAUCUGAUGCACUAUUCCAAGACGCUAAAUCGAAGUUGCAAGAAAUUCGUUCUCAGAACUCUAAGCGUUUGGAGAUGAGAACAGACACAAGACAAGUGAAGAGGAAGAAGAAGAAUAAGUAAAUCCACUGGCCUCACUUGCUUGGCUUCUACUUGUAUCUUAGGCACUUUGUUUAGAGAGGAUGCAGUUUGACAGGAUGACGUGAAAGUUUGUAGAAUGACACUAUGUAUUUGGAAUCUUCCAAUGGACAGCGUUUUCAAGUUCUUACUCAGAGGCGAAUUCUGCAAGGAGACAUGACAUGGCGGUAUGCAUACUCAUAAUCAACACAAAGUAGGCAUAGGGGGGAGAGUUUGUAAGAUAUCCUUCACAAUUUUGAUUUUACUAUUAAAAGAGCAAGCAAUUCUCUGCAAUUUUGUUCUCCUGCUAUUUAUAUUUACAUAGAAAUGGAGUUGAAGUUGCAUGUAAGUGUGUUCAAGUGGAAUAUUAUUUCUAUACUAUUAGUUUCACUUCCAUUUAUCGUGGGCGAUGACAUUAGCUUUUCUAUACAUCGAUAAUUUGUAGUGAACUCCCAAAUUGUUAUAAGUUCAUGGUACACAAAAAUUGGAUGGAGUUAGUAAACAAAAUCAUCUCCGAGAACUAACCAUUUGGUAUUAGUUAUACUCAAUUUUCUUAGUUAUGUACGAUCUCACUGUUUGAUUGGUCCAUCUUUAUUGGUUUUAGGUAAAUUUUUGGUAUGGAACUGAUAACUGAAGGGAAGGGAAAAAUGAUGUGAGAAAUGGGACAGAGAUGAAGGAUUGAAAAUAGUGUAUCCUAUAUUUUAUUACUGGAAUUUGUGUGGUAGAAAUCAACCCUAAAAUUUGAAUACAAUUUUAAGUUUUGCUAUGAUUUCUGAAUAAUUGUGAUCAAUCAAUUCUUAGACUUUCUCGACAACUCUUCUAAAAUGCUUGAAUAAUACAAUCAUGUUUGUUCUUGAAAAAAAUGGUAAUUUUCACAAAACAAUCAAGUAUGUUACUGUUUGCUUGUUGAACGAGACCUCCCUCUAAAAAAUUUGAAUCUAGUUUCAAUUAUUUGGGAAUACUAAGUUUGUGUAACACUAAUCUUUUAUAGUCACGAUUUAUUUUAAGAUUAUACCAUAAGUUGAGUCAUUUGAGUCAUUUCAGUUCAAUAAUGGAGAAAGCAGAAUUGAAACUAUCCACAAGCUUUUACAAACAUUUUCCUUCAUUUUUGUUCACAUCUAUUAAUUUCUUAAAAGACGAUAUUACUUUAAUAAAUAAUGGUAAAAAGAGUGGAGAAGAGAACUAUAGGUAGAAAUCGUGGACCAGAUCCAUAAUUUUCACUAACAUGAUGUCAUGACUUACCUAUUGCCUUUGAAGUGCCAUGCCAUCUAUAAAUUCCCAAAGGGUUGCCAAAUCAAAGAGUGGAAAUGAUUGCCAUAUUUAUCAUUUAGUUAUGUUCUAAUAAAUUUGCUGCUGGUCCUAGUUUUGUCAUUUCUUUAAACUACAUUAUUUUUAAAAUUAACCCACCAUGAUUCUCUUUAGGUAAAAUUUGAAUUUUUGUUCAAAAUCUAUAGGAAAAAAAGUUUAUAGAAAAAUUUAUUUAUUUUAUUUUUUAUGUGAAGGUAACAAAGGAUAAAGUUCAAUUAUUAGAAAUAAAAAAUAGUAGAGCAUAUUAAACAUCUGCUUUUAAACUAGCGCACAAUUUAAUGACAACACUUUCUUCAAAAUGAUCGCAUUUCAUCUCCCUCUAUUCAACAAUUCUUCGACAUCUUAUCUAUCCAUUCUCUUGGCAAAUAUUAUUGGAUAGAAUACACAAAAACUGAUACAGAACAAAAGUUUCGCUCUUCUUUAUUGAAACAUGAAGAUAAACCACCUACUAGCACGUGGAAAUGAGUUGAGACCAGCAGGCAAAGGGAUUGAACGAAAAUAAAAUCCUAAGCCUACAAAAAGAUUUCACUAGAGGAAGGAAUUGAGAUCUGUACCGCAAAGGGGGUUGGGCCAAAAUCAGACCCUUUGGUCCAAAUCCUUUUGAAAACAUCUCCACCUACACACCUGAAUUUCUAAUAUAUGGUGGUGUGGUGUAUAAGUUGAUCCUUAGUACUUAUGCAUAAGUUCCUUGUAGGCGUCCGGAUGCUCCGAGUAGUAUUUCACUUCCGCCUGCAAAUGACGAAUAGUUUCACGCAUUAUAGUUUGUGAUGUCAUGGAGAUUUCUCCAAAGGCCUAUUUGGAUUGAUUUUGAAGCGCUUAGAAAAUGUUUUUGAAUGAUACGUAAUGUUUUGAAGCACUUGCAAUAUUUAAAAUAAAUAAAAAAUUCAAAGAGGCCCUUUUCAUGUUAUAUGCUCACUGAAAUUUAACUAUUCUUAUUGAACUAAGUGAAAAUUACGUUAUCUAUAUAUCUUUAACAGUCUAGUUACGAAGAAACUGAAUGUUGAGAUAACGAAACAGACAUGUAAUUACAGCUGAAGGACAUUUCAUUCCAACUUCACUGACAAAUUAAACAUAUUCGAGUACUGUAGACGACUUAAGUUGACUAUUGAAAGUGGUUAGGUGGAUGCUUGUCUAAGAAUCAAGCAACAAGUUGAAAAGUAAACAACUGGGUCCACAUAUAAGAGGAACUAUAAAGACCAAAGGAAUGUAGUCUGUGUGAAUAAAUGCUAAAUUGGGUAAAAACCAUUAGAUUACCGCAAAAUUUCAGUAUCUUCUAAUGGAUAUCUAGAAGCCUAAGCCUUUGCUUACAUGAAAAAACAUUUAAUUAAAGGUAAUGAAAUUAAAGAGGGUGCAAGGAGACACAAAAAUCUCCCUCCAACGGCACAUUGGUAAGAUUUGAAAGGGAUAACUAGUAGUAACAGAACUUCAACUUGAGACAGAGGAGGCUCAAAAUAAAAUCGGAGUCCACAUGUAGUUGCUAGAGCUCUCUUUAACACUGAAAUACCCUAUUUCAGUUUAGAUAAGUAAGGCAAAAGAGAUAAGUAAUAAAGUAGUUUGUCUCCAAAGCAAAAGAGAACUCCAUAAGCCUUCUAUAAAAAAAAAACUUAUUUUGCACAUGGCUGCAAAACACUUGCUCAGCGUACUUACAAGCUGAUUAUUGGAUGAGGAAGGUUGAAACGAAGAUGUUUAGCAAGUUAUUCCAAAGCAUGGAAGGAAAAACAACAGGAAGAGGAAGCUUGGCAUCUCUCUACUAGUUUUGCAAAGAAAACAACAAUUUAAGUUGAGGUAGGAGUUUAUUUCUUUUCAGAAUUCUGUCACUGAGGUAGAUUUCUUUGGUAAGAGCUGAAGAAACAACCGUGAAGAUGUCAAAGUGAUCCAGAAACCAAGUUCCGGUGACAUUGCCAAAUGAUAAAUGCACUCUUCAAUAAGAUCCAGGAAAUGGAAGUCACCUCUAACCAAAAAAAAAAAAAAAAAAAAAACACUACUGAAACCAAUUGUCUAGCUCAAGAGGAGACAUGCCUUCUUAAGUUCGCAAAUUCCCACAAAAGUUUUGGUAUGACCACACAUGAAGAUCCUAAAUCACUAGUCUGUUUUGGUACGACCUCACUUGAGCAUCUUACAUCAUUAGUAGGUAGAGAGGACUCUACAGAGACAAUUUUGAAGUUUUAGUAUACGUUGAACUCCUGGAAGAACCUUGUAAAGGAAAGCGGUGGUAGAGGGGCAUGAAUCAAAAUAUAUCUAAAUGGUGAGGCCUAUAUGGUUAUGAUUAUAAGUAAGGCCUAAAGCAUGUAGAACUGAUCAAAAGAAUCAAAAUACAUUUAAAUGGUGAGGCAAUACAAGUGAAAAGAACUACAAGCCAUGACAAUUACCAUGAGAUAAGCCAUGAAAGUCAAAUUGCAUGCAUACCUUGCGAAUGGCCUUUAUGGCAACCACCAACUUUUCACCUAUAAGAUCUGCCAAGAUAUUGUCCUUUUCCAGAGCUUCUACAGAUUCAGAAAGUGAUUGUGGCAACCUUUGGAACUUUGAACCAAGGCUAGAUGGAUUUGUAUCUGUUUAUGAUCCAGGUUAUUAGAGUACAAGAUAGAACAUUUUGGAGUACUUUGCAUACACAUAAAAAAACAUCAUGUGAAUCCAAAGAGAAAACGCAACCACAUAAGCAUGUUAAAGGUAUUAAAAAAAGGUGCAAUGGCUAGAUUGAAAAUGUUCCUCGUCAACAAGAAAUAUUGCACUACAUAACAUUCAAUAACCUACAAUUCUAUUAAAGCAAACUGCUCUCCACGUGUAGUUCCUAGAUGGUUAAAGUUAAACUACUUAUUUAAUAAACGUAUUAAUAGUUUCUACCAAGUGAACUACAUCUCUUCCUCAAUUUGUAUACUAAGGUAAACAUAUGGAGACCUUACCUAUAUUCUCCUAUAAGAACAUAGGGUAGCUUAACAAGUUUCCAUUCCUAGUACUUCCAUUAUUAUUACUUUUUCUAAUAAGGCACCAACUUUUCAUUAAGAUUAACUAAAUGAAAUGAGUAUUGCACAAAAAUGCAAAGUCCAAAAGGAGAAAAAGGUCCAUCUCCACUAUAUCAUAAUAUUUAAUCCCGUUUCCAUAAUUUUUUUUCAAUGGCUAAUGGCACUAUGAAAAGUUGAAAACUUUGUCCCCUACUCCAUCCAGUUGUAUUAGAAGAGUAAAAGUUGGGAGACACCAGGGUUCGAACUCACUCAUUGAUGGAUAAAAAAUGAAUGUCUUCACCACUGUAUUCCUAAGGAGUACUUCUCCAUCUAGCUGUACUAUAAGGUAUCAGGCAAGUUUUGUAAAACGGGGCAGAAAGUACCAUCCAUCAUUAAAUGGGUUCAAGGCAUCAAAGUUCUAUGUUUCUACAUAUUCAACAUAAUUCAAUUUACUCAACUGAAAAAAGAAUCAAUAAAGUUAGACCUAAAAGUUGGUAUAAAUUUCAUGUUUCAACAUAUUCAUAGCACACUGUUUCAUGCAGUGCAGGCUUAUAUCACAAGAAUCAACAUGAAAAGGAAUUAAAAUUGCAGCCUUGCAGGCCUUAAAGUUGAGAGCUUAUGUUUUGAGUUUUGAUGACAUAAUAAAUGACUAAAUCAAACAAGGCUUAAAUUGACUGAUUAGAUCUCCCGUUUUAAAAAAUGGCAACCAUAUCAUUAUAUAUAUAUAUAUAUAAAUCUCAAACUUUUGCUUUCGGUUCUGUUUUUUUUUUACCGCAAGAAAGAGGGAGGUAAACAUCAAUGUGUAUUGACACAUAUCAUUAACUAAACCAUUGGAUGUGAAAAAGUUUUUAGGCAAGAAUAACUUAUCAUUUUGAUUAGUUGUGCCAUUAAUAUAAAGUCUAAAUUAUAAAAAUAGUAGUACUCUAGAUAGUUUAUUGAAACCAGGACACUUACCAGCAGGUUCAGGCAACUGAAGAUUGUUCCGAAGGCCAUCUAUUCCGGCAGAAACAAUAGCAGCCAUACCCAAGUGUGGAUUUGCACAACCAUCAAAACAUUUGAUCUCAAAGUUACUCACAAAACCAUCCGAAAUCCCAGGUGGACAAGCCGUUCUAAGUGGAGAUUCUCUGUUUUCUUUUCCCCAACAUUGAAAGGCUCCGCUCCACAUAUUGGGUUGUAAACGAUCAUAACUACAAGCAAACAAAGUUGCCGAAUUGGCAGGGAAGUGACAGAAGUUAUUAAGUAGCCACAUUACCUUAGAUGGAAGCAACCAUUAUAUUAUUGAAAAGUUGAUCCAUUAAGAUGGAAGAUUUCAUCAAUUUUACAGCAGAAACCAUGCAUGAUUGAGAGUCAAGAGAGCAUGGAAUUGAUAAUUUGAAAAAUAAAACACAUGAUUUUGAGGAGAUAAUCAAAUAAUGAAACAAAUAAUCAACCAGCCAACAAAUAGGACAUGCAUACAAAGAAGACAUGUCAUGAGCAUAAAUGUUAUGGGAACACAAGGACUUUUUCCAAGUGGUCACCCAACUUAGUUAACGUUAUUUGGUGACCAUAGCUACUUGUUAGGUCAAAUGCAAUGCCAAACAUUGUUGUGUUGUGGAAGCUACCAUGGCAAAAAUUGGCAACUGGCUAUUAUUGUAUAAUUGUGGGAUUUGGUGUUGUUCACCUGUUUGGAACUGGAGCUGUAAAUGCCAAAAUUGAUGAGAUAUGGUGUAAAACCCCUGCCAUGAACUUUUCCCCAAUAGCUGACAUUCCAUGUUUAGAAGAUCCAUCAGACGCCAUGAAAACAUUUUUACCAUUCUGCCACAAGCUGACAUGCACAUGGGAUCCAGAACCAAUAUCAUCCAGAUCGUACCUAAGCAAUAUUAAGAAAUCACGAUGUUAUUCAUUUUAGAUUACUGGGUUUCUAAACACUACAAAUCCAAGACAAAACAAUUUUACGGCCGCACCAUAUUUUCCAUCGCUGUACCAAUCAUAUUAGUUUUGUAUUCAUAGUCCCUCCCAUUGUGAAUUGUUUGAGGUGUUUGAGUUUUUUUCCCUAAAAGUCCCAUGGGAUCUUGUCUCCCUCUCAUAAGUUUUUACAAAUUCUUUGGAUCCUUCGUGUCGGUUUUUCUGGUUUGUUAUUUCUCAGUGUUUGGUCUGGUUUCUUUUGAUUGGUACGUCUCUAAAUUUCUUGUCUCGUGGGACUCUAACUUUGUUGAAGGUUUUCUUCUUUUUGGAUUGUGUUUGUCUCCUUUUUUUCUCUUCUAUUAAGUGAUCACGUAUGUUGGUGUAGUAGUCUCUUUUCAUUAUAUCAAUGAAAUUUAUGUUUCUGUUUCAAUUUUUUUUGACAUUGAUGAAAGAUCAGUGAGUCCAUGCUAACUAGUGACUAAAACUAGCAUAGCUAGAAAAGUUAACGAGUCUAGGCCAUUAUUUUUUCAACAUCAACACUAUGUCACUAAUGAUCUUGAGCAAGUUUACAAAAAGGUGCCUUUGGGCUCUCUUUCCCAAAUGGGGUGCUGUUUGUGUAGAGCUGGCGAUAAGUCCCAAAGGCACAUCUUCAUUCACUGCCCCUUCUCUUACUUCCAUUAUUUUUCAUCCAAAUUGAAUUAACAGUCUGGUUACCAUCAUAGCCAAGAGAGUCUCUUAGGCAUUAUUGUAUCAACUCAUUUACUAUUUCUCAAGCCUCAACAAGGAACUAGUUUUCUAAUAGGAGUCCCAAGUUAAAGUUGUUAGCCAAAACAACAUCCUCUCAAACAUUAGAGAAAACUAAAACAAGUGGAAAGUUGUUGCUCUCGUUCUAGCCAAGUGCCCAAUUACUUUAUUGAAUACUAAAACAUACUUGGGAAUAAACGUUGCCAAUAGUCCAUGCUUCCUUGCAGUAGCCCUAAUAACUUCCCGUGUGUAAACUAAGUUGUCAGCAGCAUUGAGACAAACAGUAUGCCCUAAAGAAAUCUCAAAUUGGCCUUUCCCAGCUUCCGCGUGCACCUACAAGAGUAGAAACAAACAAACAACCAACAAAAUCGAAGUCUUGGUCAACUUAAAGAGAAACAACCAAUCUUGACUCUAGGAAGACUGAGAGAAAGGACAACAUAUAUGACUAGAUACUUGAUGUGGUAAUGAUCUGUUUUAGGUAUCUAUGGUGUAUAACUUACUCUAGUUAGCAAAUAAAUAAGAAUGGUGCAUAGAAUUAGAGGCAUUACAAAUAAAUGGCAUAUAACCUAUGCAAUAAGUAUAAUUUUCUGUGUUUUGUACAUAGGAUUUAAUUGAAAUAGGUCAAGGGUGGACAUAGCCUAGAAUACAUUAAAAGCACACCUAAUUAUCUACAUACCAUAAAGUUUAGAUCUCAAUGGCAUAGUGUUCCAUUAGCUUAAUUGAUGAGUCCCCCAACACAAAUAUAACAGUAAAUAAUCUACACACUAUAGGUAUGUAAUUGAAGGGUCAAUUUCCUCCAAAGCUUGGAACUUCACAGUUUCACAUUAGACAUCAUUAACUGUAUAUAAGUGAAGGGAAAAAGGAAAGUGGCUGGGAAAGUGGUACAGAAACAAAAUUGUAAACACUAGUUCAGAUGCUAACAUCUAUACAUCUAAAAAAUGUUAUAAGUUAUCAUCCCCACCUACUUCAAUCCAAGUGAGAACUACAUCCUCCAUCCAUAUAUGACAUGAAGUUGCUAACCCACAAAAGUAAUUGACAUGUGUCACUUGAACAAAUAUUAGGGAACCUGACUU
rnacentral:lncRNA from 1 species